rnacentral:lncRNA from 1 species
CAAGCCACAACUAUCAUAGUAAACCUGGCCAAGUUCAAAGUCCCGGAAAUGUUCAAAAAUGUGGUGUUUGUCAUUGAGUUUGUGCCGGAAAAAGAAAGUAAGUCAUCUUCUCCAAUUUUAAUUUUUAUUUAUACUAACAUGUUUCUUAUUUUGAUGAUUCAGGCACCCACUCUUGAAUUUAAACCAUUGCCGAAUCAUUUCAAGUAUCACCUCCCAUUAAAAGAUAAAUUCCAUGCUUUGGAGCCGAUGAGAGUUUAAAGGAAAGAUUCGUCCGGCUAAAGACGUUAAAUCAAGCGCUUCUUGGGAGGCAACCCAAGCAUUCAACGAAGGAAGACUUUGGAAUCGUUAACCCAAUCAGAUUUGCAUUCUUACACCCUUAUCUUUACUGCUUUCAUUUUGUUUUGUUUAGUUAGUUGUGUUAUUUGGUUGAUUUCUGUGAGUUUGUGUUAUUUAGUUUAAGUGUGGGGGAAGGUUAACCAAAGUCUUUUUACAUUAAUUUACAUAUAUAUAAAAAAAAUAAAUAAUAAAAAAAAAAGAUAAAAUUUAAAAAAAUAAAAUAAAAAAAAAUAAAAUAAAAAAAAAUAAAAAAUAAAAACAUAAAAGUACAAAUAUUUUACAAUGACUUAAACUAAUAGCAUUCAUUGGUCAGGUGGUGCUUCAGUAGUCGGCGGAGCUUCGGCAGUCGGCAGGGCCACAGAAGGAGGAGGCAGCAGAGGUUGAUCAGUUGGAGCUUCACUACGUGGUGCCGCUCCAGAAGACGAAGGCAGAUGUUGUUGGAACAAUCCCACAAACCUUCGAUGAUCAAGUAAAAUUUGACCAUCGGUGUCCUGCAUCUGGUCAAUCUUCCUCUUCAUGCUGGUGGCAUAGUUGUGUGCAAACUUAUGCAAUUGUUUAUUUUCAUGCUUGAGUCCCUAAUCUCCUCUUUGAGACUCUGUAUUUCAGCCACCAACGAUUCAACAUGACGGGUUCGGGCAAAUAGGCGUUGGGCCAUGUUGGACACAGAACCAGCACACUGCACGCUAAGAGCCAGAGACUCCUUAACCGCCAAUUCAUCAGACCGUCUAGCGAGCAGUCUGUUAUCUCUGGGAGUGACAAGGUUCCGGGCCACCACCGCAGCGGUCAUGUCAUUUUUUCACCGAAUCCCCCACGGUAAGAGGACCGGUGGGAGAUAUGAAGGAUGGGCGCCAUAUGUUGUCUGGUGAAGGCGGAGCUGCCUCUUCACCACGGUUGAGGUCAAAACGACGAUCGGAAGGGCCAGACAUUUUUCAGAGGUGGUGAAGAAAGAAGAGAGUCGGACUGAUCAAGAUUUCGGAAGUGCAAGAAGGGAGUGUUUACAGGAGGGAGCUCAAGUGUGUUGUGGAACAAAAUUAACGCCUCUAUAAAAAGAAGAAUUCAAAGAGGCACUCCUCAGAAAUCGAUGAAGCGUCCUCUCACAAAUCGAAGAGUCGAGGAGUUUCCGUUCUCAAAAGCCGGAUUCUUUUCUCAAAAGAGGCGUUCAUUUCUUAAAAGUUGGGCUUGCUCAGAAACCACGAGCCGAACCCCGGAUUUCGCAAGAUCAAUUCGUCCAGACGUGUUGUCACCCGUCACACGCAAACUCAGCUCUGCGAAAAUCACGGGCAGUCUGUCGAAGUGCCGAUUCCAACCAUCUGUCUCUCUCAGCCUAGUCAGCAUUUGUCACAUGCAACUGGCAGCUUUGCGGAAAUUACGGGCAGCUUUGUCAGAAAGCGCGUAAUUUGUACUAUUCAUCCAUCCACCGGCUGCCGACAAUGAGUGAGAGAACAGUUCCGGUUGUGAAGACAAGUCCUAUAAGUUUCUACCUUCGCCUUCCACAGCAAAAGCACACUCUCUCAGCACACCCUCUCAACUCUUCUUCAUCUCCGAAAAUGCAUUCCCAAAGAAUCCUUCUCGAGUCACUCUGUGUUCCUCAUUCCUUGGGAUACUCCUGCGAACAACCCAUUCAAAGCAAAAGUAUUUCAUAUCAUAAAGGUUGAAAGCAAGAGUAUCUCAUAUCAUGCUUUCUCCAUGUCCUUCUCCUUGUCUUUGUUUUCCGACAAGGAGAAGGAGAGCAAUCAGCCAGCAUUUGGUAUCAAUCUUCCGAUCUGGAGCCAACUGCCUGGAACCCCUUCCUGAUUGCUUACCUAGCCUUGCUCUCGAGUACUCAUCUUCAUCAUCUUUAUGCUUUCCUCUUUUGUCUACCACAUCUACCUGGGGGACAGUAAGGGAAGUGAAAAUGAUACCUCGAAGCAUGUGGAGACAAUUCAGCUAGGGACAAGGAGAAAGAAAGCAAGAGGUGGGCACUUGGAAAGAUUGAAGAAAGAAAUCAAGGACCAAACCUCUACCUCGUGCCUGCCCGCCAUGCAGAGGAAACAAGCAGAGAAGAAUGCAGACUGAACUGAAAUCCUCGCUCAGAAUUCCAAAUCAGUUCAAGAGGAAAGCUGUGGAAAGUCAACAAGCACGACCAAUGAUUCACUUAUUAGUUUCUAUUCAUUAUCUUUUAUUUUCAUUUUCAAUUUUUCGUUUGCAAUUUUUUCUAAUUAAUUUUCUUGCGUACUUAACUGAAUUAUUUCUUUUCUUUGCAGGAACUUUUGGUUAUUUCCACCCUUGAAGUUGAUUGCAGAAUUUUAGCUUGGGGGGUCAUCGCUUGAUUUUACUGCAAAUUAGGGAAGUUUUCAGUCCAAUUGCUUUAUUUUGUUUUUUAUUAUUUUGUUUAUUUUAUUUAUUUUUGCAUUAUAGUGUUUUCUGACAUUGGGGACAAUGUCCAGUUUAAGUAUGGGGGUAAAGGGUAAAAAUGACCAAAUUGAAAUUUUUUGUACCUUCAACUUCGAACUGGUUUCAUUUGUUUCUGUGUUGUUGCUUUUUAUUUUUUAGUUUUGUUUUCUCUAUAAAAAAAAUAAAAAAAAAAAAAUCGGAAAAUUUAAAAAUCCAAAAAUAUUGUCUUGUUUUCCUUAUUGUUUUGAAUUAGAUUUUUGUUAGUUUCCCGACCCAAUGAUAUAAUUGGAUAAAAUUUGAACCAUGAUCAUCAAGAACUUAGUUAACAUGUGUUUUUGUGAAAUUCCUAAUUCUCGUUGUUAGUUUUGUACAUGUUUGAUCAUCUUUGAAAAACCAAAUGCACAUAGCCUUGUUGAUGUGAAACUAAAGCAUGACUUAAAGCUUCAUAUGUGAAUUUAGUGACCAUAUACAUCCUAUGUGAGUUUUUGAGCCUAUUGAAAGUGUGUGCAUUUUUCAUACACUCCUAUUCUUUCAUGUGUGAUGAACUUAUGUGAGAUACAUCUCUAGAACUUGCGUAACGAUCUUUCGAAAUGUUUGUCCUUGAUUGCAUGAACUUGGAAAUGAUAGAGGCAUUAGGUUUACCAUGGCCCAAAUAACCAUGUUUCCCAAAGAAAAAUGAUAUCAUUAGAUUGCCAAUUUGAGCCGUAUAUGUUGAACCUUUUGUUUCUUAUCACCAGAUAUGUCUACCCUUAUACCUGAAACAUUUUUCCUUACCCUUUUCCAAGCGAGCAAUGCGAGAUUGUCUUAUGAGAAACGUUUGUUAAGUACUGUGAAGGUGUUUGGCAAAAGAAUAAGUGUGGGGGUAUUUCAUGUUUGUAUUUCAAAAAAAAAAAAAAAAAAAAAAAAAAAAAAAAAAAAAAAAAAGAAAAAGAAAGAUUGUAUACAAAGAAAAUAAAAGUUUUUAAAGUUUCAGUUUAAGGUUGUGGUUGGAGGAUGUCUAGAAGAAUCGUUGGAGAGCUUGAGUUCUUAUAAAUCUAAAGAAAAGAAUUGCUUGCAAUGUAGCUUGGAACUUGUGUUUUCCUAUUCUUUCGUUUCAAUAACCCUAUCCCUAAACCUCAUUACAUCCAAUAAAAGUCCUCUUGAUUUAAGUUUUGCAAUUAUGACUGUGGAGAAGUGAUCUUUAUGCAAGCUUAUGGUAGAAAUUUCACAUUUGUUUCUUUGAGCGAAACACAUUAAAACUAAAACACAUGUGUGAUUGAGUGCAUAUCCCGUGAGAAGGUCGCUAGUUUGCAUAUGAUGAUUUUAAAAAUAAAAACUUGAAAUUGCAUUAGCAUGACUAUCUCACACACUACACUUCAAGGAUGAUUCAAAGAUUACUGCUAAUAUUUGAAUAAGAUGAACUUGGAUUAGUUUGUUUGACGCUAGCUAUGGUUCUUGAUGAUUUGUUUUCUCGAAUGAAAUUCUAUGAGGGUCACAUAGGGGGAAACUAAUGUUUUUCAUGUUAUUACUUUUUCAUGUCUCUUUGUUUUGCUCGAGGACUAGCAAAAGCUAAGUAUGGGGGUAUUUGAUCGGAUCAUAUUUAUAUAUAUUUUUACUUCAAAUUCACUCGUCUUUUCUUAGUUAGUUCCUUAUAUUUUUGAGCUAUUUACGUUAUUUUUGUGUUUAUAGGAUUUGUUAUGCAAAGAAAAUAAAAAUGGCACAAAUGAGUUUUAAAUAAUAAAUUCGUAAAAAAUUGCUUUAGUCGUUCUCAUUCUGUCAUGGGUUAUUGGUAGAAUUAUGUCACGGAUUAUAGGGCAUGGAAAUUAGGCUAAAUUUAUUAGGUAUGCAUUAGAAAUUAUAUGAUAUAUCUAAAAUUGAAGUGUUUUGCAGUUGGUGAGUAAAGAAAAAAAAAAGAAUAAACAAAGUUGUUGGAGGGCUGCACAUUAAGGCACAGAAGGAAUAAAAAACUGCACUUGCAGCGUGAGUGUGGUGGGUGAGGCAUUAGCCUCGGGGGUGAGUGCGGAAAAGAAAGAAAAAUAAUAGGGGAAGUAGGGCAGCUACGUGGGCAGCGAAUAAAGGGAGAGAGGUGAGAAAUCAGCGCGAGGAGAAGACGGGAGAGACGUGAGGAGGGGGAAAGAAGCAGCUUAGCUGCCCCUGGCAGCCUUGGAAAAACAAGAAAAGCAGAAAAUAGAGAGGUCAGAGGCAGCUGCCUUGCGGCAGCAGGAACCGAGGAGAGUCAGGAAGACAGCUGCCCUUUGGCAGCGUGAGCGUGAACACGUGCAGUGAGGUGCGAAGAAGAGACGCCAGCGUGAGACCAGAGGGUGGAUAGGGAGAAGCAGCAAAGCUGCAGUGCCAGCGACAGAAAAACAGAAACAUCAGAGCAGCAAGCUGCACAGAAAACAGAAGGCUUCAAUCUAUUUUCUUGGGGUUAAAUCUUUCCAAACUUUUAUUUUAUUUCUGUUUUUAAUAAUGUGUAAUUAAUUUUAUUUUGGCUAGAGGUUAAUUCGAAACCAUGAAUAUAUUUGUAAUAUGAAUUGAUUACCUUCAGUUGUGAUUUCUGAGUUGUGAUUUAAUUUGCUUAACUGCUUGAUAGAUAACUAAUUUUUUUGUAUGUCGAUUAAGGAUGCAUACUUAAUUUACAUGCAUGAAUUUGAUGCUAGAAUAUAAGUGAAUUUCACCUAAUCGUUAUGAACUUAUAUUCACAAGUAGUGAAGGUUGUUAACCACAAUCGUGUUAAGUAAAUUCUUGGCAUAAGUUUCAUGCAAUUCAUAGUAACAAGUGCCUCGUCAAUGCUUAUGAUUUUCAUAGAACUUAAUGAUUCUUGCUUGUAUCUCUAUUAUGCAAUUCAUGUAGGGAACUUGUGGGGAAUAUUUUGGGUUGUCGUAUGCAAUCAUCCAAUCCAUUAACUUAAGGAAAAUCUGAGAAUUAAUUUAUGCAAUUCAUGGUUAAUUUGGGGCGUUGAGAUUUACAAUUUAUUGAAAGAACAACUGAAAAUCAAUUUAGAUUGCUUAUGUGUCAUGUGUGGAGAAGAACCCUCUAGCUAGUCCGUCAUUUAUCAUUUUACCUUAAUUUUAUGUUUUUGUCAAUUCUGUAAUUUAAUUAAGUUUAAUUUACUUUUCAUCAAAACCAAACACCCAUCCAUUAUUAAAUUAUAUUUUUUUGUUAGUUUUCUUUAUUGUUAGUCUUUUAAUUUAAUUUCCGUCCAUUUCAGUUCCUAGUGUUUAAUUUAAUUGUUUUCAUUAUUUUGAGUCAUUUUAAGUGUGUUUCGAGUUAUUAGAGUUUUUAGCCUAAUUUUGUGUCCUUGAGUCUUGUUUAAUAUUUUUAGAUUAAUUUAGCAUAGAUUAGCAAUCCCUCCUAAUCCCCGGCCUAGAACGAUACCCUACUUACAUCUAUACUACAAUUGUCAAAAAGAGGGUUAAUUUGUGUGUCAAGUAAUUCUCACAUCAGUUCCAUUGGCAAGGUUUAAACUUUUGAGAAAUGCUUCACAACUUUGAAAACAAAAACGCUUUCAUUUUGCAUAUCCUUGCACAUUUAAUAUUUGUAAUAGAUUAGUAGUGUAUGGAUGUAUUUUUUAUGAGGCUCUUAUUUUCGAGUACAUAAGCGACAAAUGUGUUUUAAUAUUUUGAAGUAAUAUUUAUGUGACAAUGUGUGGUAUGUGCAAAUUUAAGAAAAAAAAAUAUUUUUCUUAACGGGUCAUAACGGGUCGGGUCACUUUACCCAUUGGGUAAAGUGACCCGACCUGUUAAGGACCCGUUAAGAUAACAGGUGUGACACGACACGACCCGUUAAGAUAACAGGUGUUACACGAAAACGACACGAACACGACUGACACGACCCGUUUGCCAGGCCUAGCAGAAGGUAUGUAAGUACUAUUGGUUGCCCGGACGAGAACAAAAUUACAUAUUCCAUUGCUGAUCUGGAUGGCCUUGUGUGGGAGAACACCCCAUAUUUUGUUCUCAACAUUAAUGAGACUGCUUCUUAAGAUGACUGCUUGAGAGAUUGCAAUUGUGAAGCUGCAGUUUAUCAUGACUAGUUGUGCCAAAAACAGAGGUUUCCGCUAAGAUUUGGAAGAACUGGAAAAAGUGGCUCAACCAUGAUCAAAGUUGUCACUGAGAGUUCAGGGACAAAAACUGUAAGCAAAGCAAGGUAAGAACAACUUCGAACAUGAAUCUUUAUUGGCGGUAUUGCAAUGCUAAGUUUUGCACUUAUUAUUCUAGCAAUUACUGGUUUUGUUAUUUAUAGAUACUGUGUUGCAGAUUACGAAAAGAUUUCGAAUUCAAAAAAUGAUGGGUUUGUAGAAGAUGUCACGCUGCGAUCAUAUACAUAUUGUAAGCUUGAAAAGGCAACCAAAGGUUUUAGUGAUCAAGUGGGCAAAAGACCAUUUGGGACAUUUUAUAAAAGGGUCAUACCAUCAAAUGGUGGGAGAGUAGUGGCUAUCAAGAAACUAGAGAAGGUGAUGGAUCAAGGAGACUGGGAAUUCCGAAAUGAGAUGAACGCAAUAGGAAGGACGCAUCAUAAAAAUCUGGUUAAAUUGCUUGGCUACUAUCACGAUGGAUCAAAUAGGCUUCUGGUUUAUGAGUACAUGACCAAUGGCUUGUAAUAGCAACCAUACAAGCUCUAUAACAAACUAGCCAAGAACAUAAGAUUUAACCAAGUCACAAUCAUCACUCCAAAUAUAUUCUGUAUAUGCAAACACUGAAGUAAUUUCUGCAACACAUACCUGCAGACUGUUUGACGAAGUCUUUCUCAUGUGUGUAUGCCAUUAGGUCAUGAGUAAGUUCAACUUACAUUCCCAAUAGUCUUCUGGAUAAUUGCAACUCGCUGUAAUGCCUUCUCAGAUUCCAAAGCCCGAACUCUAAGCUUCAUAUCACCUUGUUCCAAUCUUUGUAUAAUUUCAGCAAGCUUUUCAACUCUGUCAGCAUGUUCAUGGAUGAAGAAGCCAUGGACGAAUCUACACACAACCUUCUCCUCUCUGCAAAACUCAAUGCUCUUCAAGUUAUAGGUAAUUGGAACAAUAAAAGCAUGUUUUUGUGAGAGCAGGGGUUUGUGGUUUUUAUACUACAAAAUCUAGAUUACCUUAUAAUAAUCCUACAAGGAAUACAAGACCAAAUCCUUGUACAAGUAUGAGUUCUAUUCUUGAGCCAACAGUAGAGUUUCAAUCCAAACCAAAGUUAAAUUAACUCUUAUAAACACAUUAAGACCUCUUUAUACCAAUCUGAAAUAACAAUGAUUAUUACUAAGCUGUGAGAAUCACACUCAUACUCUAACAUAGCUCACUUGCAGAUUUCUUUUUCCGAUCGGAUGGAAGACCAACUUGGAAGGAAAGAAUUGGCAUAUGUCUCAAUGUAACUUGAGGCAUACUUUAUUUACAUGAAGAGUGUGACACACAGAUCAUCCACUGUGACAUCAAAUCGGAAAAUAUACUAAUGAGUGACCAAAAAUGUGCAAAGCUUGUUGAUUUUGGUCUUGCCAAGCUGCUAAAGCUUGACCAAACUAGGACAUAUACCGGGUUAAGAGGAACAUGGGGUUAUGUUGCACCUGAGUGGCAUAGAAACGUUCCCAUAACAGUGAACAAAUGUAUACAGCUUUGGGGUUGUGUUAUUGGAGAAUAUGCUGCAGAAGAUGUGUGAAUAUGGACAUACUUGAAGAUCAAGUUAUCCUUGAGAAUUGGGUAUACCAUUGUUUGGAAGCCGACGAACUGGAUAAGCUAGUGAAGGAUGAAGAUGUUGACAAGAAUGAACUUCAAAUGAUGGUUAAGGUAGGACUUUGGUGCAUCCAAGAUGAGCUAGCAUUUCGCCCUUCGAUGAAGAAGAUCAUACUAAUGCUGGAAGGGACUGUAGAGAUACCAAACCCGCCAAGUUUUACCUCCAUUUCUAGUUCCAUUUCCUGACUAAGCCUUGUUGUUAACUGAUUAGGAAACUAGCUAGCUUCUGUGUAAUUUUGUUGCAGCGUUGGUUUUGUUGUUUGUUUUAGUUUUAAGUAAAGUUUAUCUUCAUGUACUAUGCUACAAUCUGAUCCGUACAAAAUGAAUAACAAGUAAAUUUCAUACUUCACCGAGCAUACAAAUUAGGUGGUGUAUGGUUUCUUUAAUUUAGGUGAUAAGUCUAUCAAUGUAUACAAUGAAGCAGAAGAAAAUCUUUCUCACCGGCGUGUGUGGGGUUUCAUUCUCAUUGAUCUGCGUCAGCACCUGCCCUAGCUUAGGCUAGGCUUGGUGAUUGUCCCAUGGUUUCCUGUGUAGUUUGUUUUUGUGGUUUAGUUUUCAGUUUUAUCUAGCUCUUCAUGAUCUAUGGGAGAGUGUAGAGCUUUAGUUCAUGUGUUCCCACCAUCAUCCUUGUUGGCCCUUGUUGGUCCUUCCCAUUGUCCACCCUUGUCGGCGAUAUUUCUCGUGGGUUUACACCUACAUGCUUUCUUGGUCUCGUGGUGGCGAUCCUUGUGUUGGUCCAUAGUGGAUGAUAUGGCCUCUUUCUUCACCAAUUUCGAGUUUCUUCAUUGUGUGAUCCCUAGUAGGGGUGAGCACGGGCUGGGCCGGGCCCAUUUUUUAAGGAACCGGACCGGACAUGAGUUUAAAAUAAAUGGGCCGGGCCGGGCUGGGUACAUCAUAUUUCAAUACAGAAAUCAGACCUAACCUGGCCCGUUUGAAACGGGCCGAUCCGGGCCAGGUCCACGGGUCUUUUUUUUUUCUCUCUCUGUUUAAGAUUGAUUCAGCUCCAGAACCCAGUUCCAAAUUGCAAUUCCAAUUCCAAAUCCAGUUCCAAAUCGUCACCAAACCUAGUUCUUACUUUAAUGUUCUUCAAUCUUUACAUGAGCAUACCUCUCUCUAGAUCUUUUGCUUUCUGCAAAAAUGGCUCAGAAUACGUUUUUCUAAUUGGCCUUUUUCUUAGCAUUAUUCACACUCACUUCACUCUCCCACAUCCUACGCGAAUCCGACCCCUCAACUCCUCCGCCUUCUCCCUCCAACUCCACCCCCGCGACGCCCUCUUCAAUUUCCAGCACAAAGACUACAAAUCCUUCACCUUAACCAGCCUCGACCGCGACUCGGCCCGAGUUAACUCGCUUCAAACCAAGCUCCCCUUGGCACUCCAGGGGAUCAAAAAUCAGAUUGCGACUGCGAUGAUGUCGGGGUGGUGGAGGAGAUGACUGACGGAGAGUGGGUGGAACCGUAAAGGGGAAGGGACGAUGCAUGCGAGACGACAAGAGAUGUAACCAAUGAUAGAACAUAUACAUCUAGCAACCUGGGAAAACUUAGGGAUCUUUAUAGAGAUGUAAGUGAUCAAAAAGGAGAAACCAGUAUGGACAGGAUUCCCAGGGGAGAUGGUGGUGGUGGUGAAGAGGUGAUUAGACUUGGCGAUUCUCGUUGGAAAUAGCACGGAGAGAGAGAGAGAGAGAUCGAGAGAGAGAGAGAGAGAGAUUGAGAAUCGAGUCGACAGAUCUGAAAGGGAGGAUUGAAGAGAGGAGAGUAUUCGAGAAGAUUUGAGAAAAUAGGAGAGGAAUAGGAAAAUGUUACAAACGGGCAGUUCGAGUACCCGUUUUCUUACACUUUUGGAAUCGGCCCGCCCCUAAAAUUUCAAAGCCCCGGCCCGCCUUGCCCCGUUUCUUUAAAAAAAUUAGGAACCGGCCCGUACCCGCCCCGAACCGCGAUUACCCGCCCCGACUCGCAGUUCCUAUACCCGUUUGCCCACCCUUAAUCCCUAGUGAUUGUGGAGGGAGGCGGACAGUUGUGCGGAUUUCUAGUGGCGGCGUUUCUAGGAUUUUCUAUGUAGUUUGUUUGUGUGUGAUGGGCUCUAAGUUUCUUAGGAUGUUUUCUUAUGUGCGUUUGUGGCCCAUUUUCUUUUUUGUGCUUAACUUGUAAUGGGCUUUGUUGUACUUGUUUUGGUUAGUAAGGAAAUGUACAAUUUAUAAAAGAGAGUUUUAACGAAAAACUCACGGUACUGUUCACUUUAAUGAAAAACCACAUUUUUACACUAAAAAGUCAAACUUGGUACUAUUCACUUUACCUUUUAUUUUGUCCUUAUCGUUAAAAGUCAAAGUUUUCAAGCCAUUUUCAUUAAUUUUCCUUUUAUAAAAUAAAUAAAUAAAUGAAGUGAUGCAAACUUUAGGGUUACUUACAUUUUAUACCUUUUAGGUUUGAAGUGUUUUUAAAAAUUGGUCAUGAGGUUUCCAUUUUUUCAAACUGCACGUUUACACCUUUUGUCUAUUUGAACGUCUAAUUAUCCAUUAAAUUGAUGAGUUUUUGGGUCAAUUUGGUACAAAUGUGGCUAUACAUAUCAACCCAAUUAUGUGUUCCACGCUCGCAAAGUUAUCAAUUUAAUGAAGACUCAAAACAUUUGUUAGACAAAAAACAUAAUUGAUACAGUUCUAAAAUCUCAAGGUGUAGUGUGAAAAAGUGAAAUCUUAUGGCCCAAUUGACACAGAACGUUAUGUGACAAUUUACUUGAGUAGAAAAAAAAACUCGAGCAUCAUGAUAUUUUGAUGUGAAAAAAAAAACGCAAACGUUUGCUUUUUUUUUUUUUUUUUUUUUUUUUUUUUUUAACAAACGAUAUUAUCUACACUAAGGUGGAAGAAGAUGAAGCUUAGCCUUACAAUAAGCUAAUAAUAAUAUGGUUCAAAUUCGUCUUUGACGAGAAUCGAAUCUAAGACCUCUUACUUACUAAUAAAGAAUGGUAAGCCUUUCUCUAUUGCCCCAAAAAAAGAGAGUAGUCGUUGUCUCAUUUGACGGAUUGAAAUAACGGAGUUUAGUGUCCGAUUAAACCAAGGGGAGCAUGAGUGCAAUUUGACUCACUCCUUAACUUGGCAAAGCAAUCCGGCCGGUCCAAGUGUACUGAUGAUCCGCGUGGCAAAAUCCCUGCUAAACUGCCGAAGGGAACCAAUGAGGCCUCCCGCAGCAAAACUACUCUAAAGAAUAAACACGCGAUCUGAGUCGUCGGCGAGUAUCGACGUCAAAAACCAUUCGCUGGAGCAAAGCAGGUCACUGAAAAUAAAUAAAUAAAAAUUAAAAAAAAACACGGAAGCUGAAGCUGUUGCGGGAAAAAGCUUGAUCAGAUUAGGGUUUCGCGAAUUCGAAUCGCCGAAAAGGUUCAAUCAAGUUAGGGCUUUUAUCAAAAUUUUAGUUAUAAUUGCUUAGUUUGUUUGCUGAAAUUUGGAAAUUUGCAGGAUAACUGAAAUGGGGGACGGCCUAUGGAACCGGCAGCAGCAGCAGCAGCAUCAACUUGGUCCCUCUGGCGGCGUGCAUAAACGACCUCGUUCUGACUACGGUACGUUCUCUGUGGCCGUGUCUCAUAGUUAUUUUCUUUAAUUGGAUGGAACUGUGAUUGGAUUUUUUGCAUUAUAGAUUUAGUUGUCUAACAAUUUAAAUAUGUGACCUUUUUUGUUUUUUAUUCGAGCGAUAUUAUAGUCUAAUCGAAACUAUGGGGAGUGGAGGAUCUGAACUUGGGUGUAAAGAGGGAGCACACUGCUCAAGUGUUAGCUCGAAGUCUGAUUUUUGUGCCAUAAGUGUUUUUGCUUUAGUAGUUCUUGAUGGGUUUUCGGGUUUCACUGUAAAAUUAUGUUCAAAAUGGUGAAUUUUGUGUGUAGAGUAUCUAUCGUUGACAAAGAUUCCAGUUCGGUUGUCUGAUGACUCUGCUUGUUUUUAUCUCCAAUUAUUCCUGCAGAUAUGCAGUUUCUGGUUUUGUAGCUAGGUGCCUUCUUUUCUUUUCCUUUUUUUGAAAAAAAAUGAAAAAUGUUUGCUUCUGUUUUUAUUCUUACAUCUUCAGGUACUUCAUGAAGUAUAUAAUAUAGUUUAGCCUUUUUGUUACACUUGCUACAAUUGGGGUGAACAGUCAUACUUGUAUGAUUCCAUAUCAUAAUGUAUCUUUCAAGAAAGCUUUACUAGCAGAUGAUUUCUGUCGUUAUUUUCUUUGUAACCAAAUCACAGUUUGUCGCUCUUAUGUUUCUUUCAGUCCAUACUGAAUAAGCUGAACCCAAGAAAACCUGGUUCAGUGUGGUUGUUGAGACCUAUGUGCAAAAUGAAAAGUACUACAUUACACGGUACUUAAGAAUGGGUAUUUUCCCCAACCCAACCAAAUCCCAAACCUCUAAAAUGAUAUCAAGUAGAUUCUUCCCUUUAUGUGCGGCCAGUCUUCCAAUCUAAUGCUAUUUUUCAAUAAUGAUGGUAAUAAGAUUCCCCAUACAUAUUUAUGAUGCAUAUUAUUGAUAUAAAUUUUGAUAACCAAAUCCCCUUUUUUUGUUGAUUUAGUUAUUUGUCUGUUGAAUAGUUCUUGUUAUAAAUUCAUAGUCACGAUCAAAAGCAUAGCCUUGUAUAGUCUUAUGUAGAUGUUUCGAUUGGUAUGUUUUCUUUGUACUUUUGAACCUUGAAAGCAGUUUUACUAGUUCAUCACCACCUUGUUUGUUAACUGCUAGAUGAGGUAUAUUCUACAUCCCCCUAUUACUUCUCAACUGGUUUCUUGAUUUAUGUUCUUUCAUUUCUUCUUUUUAUGCCUUUUCUCUUGUUCAAUAGUUGUAAUAUUUACAGCUGAAUUAUGUCUGUUUGUUAAUGUUUUCUCAGUGUCUUGCCUUUUUCAUAAAGGGUAAAAUAUGCGUUCCGUGCAUUAAUUUUGUCAAGGAUCUCAACUUUUAUUUUUCAAGUUAGGAAACAACUUUUCCCCAAUUUAUUUUGUUUUCAGGGGAAAUGUGAAACAUGGUGAAUAGUUAGAAACACAGAUAGGAACCUUUCAACUGGAAUGAGUAUCUCAGUCUUCCUCAGAGCAUCUGUUGUUGGCCCUCACUUUUAACGUUUGUCGCCUCUCUCUGCUUUUCUUUCUCCUUUGUAUCUCGUCUCUCACACUCUCUCUACACCCUAAAAACCUGCACUCCAGCCCCACUCCCAAAGCCUGUCUGAGAGCCAUUCUUCGAAACCAAUAUGUGGACCCUCUUCUUCUUCAACACUCCCCCCCCCCCCUCUCUCUCUCCCUCUCUCCCUUCUCAAUGUUGUCAUCUCUGUCUCAGAUGUGAAACCAUUUGGUUGUGGAUAAUAAGUUUGAUGUGAAUAAUUCUUACGUGAUAAAUUUGAAUGAUAGAAUUUGGUAUCAUUUCAAGUUAAAUGGAGUCGACAAGAAUUUUGUUGAACUUGUGGAGAAAUGGAAGAUGCUACUUGUAUCAGAUAUAGAGCUGAUAUUGGAUAUUUGACAUUGCUUUAUUUCAUUGUAUCAGUUUCUUUGUGGUGUCGAAAUGGUUAUGGUACUUGUAUGGCAUAUAGAGCUGAUGUUGGAUGUUUGAUGUUGCUUUAUUUUGUUGUAUCAGUUUCUUUUUGGUGUUGGAAUGGUUAUACUGUACUUGUAUCUGUUUCUUUAUCUCUUCUUUUGGUGAUGCUUUAUAUUACUUUAUUUUAUUUUUAAAUCUGGAAUGGUUAUACUGUACUUGUAUUGGGUGUAUAUUUGGUGUUGGAUGUUUGAUUGAUAUGAAUGUUCCAGUUAAAAGGCUCUAACUCACAAUGGUUUUGGUUAGAUUUGCUACGUCCAUGGGAUAAGUCAAUUUCACUUUUGUGCCAUUUAAAGGGGCUCUAACUCACAAUAAAUGUUUGGUUCAUCCGCACGUCUUGUCAAAAUGCAUUAACAUUGGUUAUGUGUUUGGUUAUAAUACUUAGUUGAAGCUAAUUUUCAAAUAUUGCUGCUUAAUUGCAAAUUCUGUAAUUCAAUCCUUUCUCAUACUAACAAUGAAUUCAUUUUCACUGUUUUUGUUUUAAGAAAUAGUUUUCAAACUAUUCUACCAGACGCAUUCUCUAAUGUUAAAAUGCAAAAAUAUUAUCUUGUUUUCAUUUUUUGAAAACGUUUUAUGCAGAUGGUUUUGGAAAACAUCACCAGACAGGUCCUUACUUUUCUGUAUUGUCAACCUGUCUUCAGGUCAAGAGAUGCAUGGUUAUUUUGCACGAGAGGAUGAUAUUGGCGGUCCUAGGACUGUAAAGGAUAGCAGAUCAAUCGGAUCAGCAUAUGACCGCUAUCUUCAGAAUGCGGUGACUUUCUUAAGCAUUUGAAACUAUGCUUAUUAUUCAUUGUGAUACAGCUCCCUGUUUUUGUAUUUGUACCAAAACAUUAUCCUACUUUCUUUUAAAGGAAAUGCCUUCGUACACUUCUGGAGAAGCGAGUACUUUUGGUGGAGCUGGAAUGGGAAGGGCUGUUGGUGGUGGAAUGUCAGGUCCUCCAAUGGCUGAUCAUUCUAUGAGGGGUCGUCCUGGAGCUAUGUCUUCUGAUCUACUAACAAAUGGUCGAAAUAUGAAUCUUGCUAAUCAGCUCCCAGUAGAUGCAACGGCUAGGCCUGGACGUGAAACAGUUCCUUUGCCUCUGGAUGCAUCCAGCACUUUAUAUGUUGAAGGACUUCCUCCUGACAGCACAAGGAGGGAAGUAGCUCGUAUCCUUUAUGAUCUUUCUAUUAUGCUUAAGAGUUAGUGCAUUUUGCUGUUUCCAAUCUUAUUGCUUAACCCAAUAAAUUUUCCAUCGCUGAUCCUUUACAUUACUCCAAGAUAUCUUUCGUCCUUUUGUGGGAUACAAAGCAGUGAGGCUUGUGAGCAAAGAGUCCAAACAUGUAUGUGGGGGAGGAUUAUUGUAAACAAUUACUUUUCUUAGUCAUUCUGUUUUUAUUGUUCACUCUGACUUGAGAUUCUUGUUGUGCUACUUGAUUUGACUUUUGGGAAGUUUAUAAUCUGUCUUCACACUAAUAUUCCGGUUUGUCCAUAAUGCAGCGUGGUGGGGACCCUCUUAUUCUUUGUUUUGUGGAUUUUGAAAAUCCAGCCUGUGCAGCAACUGCUAUGAGUGCGUUGCAAGGUGAUUGCUUUUUCUUGUCAUCAACCUUGGUGGCUAUCAGUUUCAAAGAAAGCUUGUUUCUUCCUUUUGUUUUUAUUUGUUUCCUUUAUAACUUUGUAACUGCUAUUUCAAUGGUACCUUAUUCAAUCAUGUAAAUGGUAAAUUUAUGCUAGAAUUCUUCAUGCAUAGCCAGGUGUAAAGAGGAUGAGGCAGUUCACAAAAAUGUUAUAGAUGGUUUCUUGUAAUUGGAGUUUAUGAUACCUCUACACUCUAGAUCCUGUAGAACUAGCUUGCGUUGCUCAUUAUAAUUUCCCAUGCUAGUGGUUUUUGAAAUGCUGGAAGAUGCUGACAUUUGUGUUGCUUUCGCAGGUUAUGAAAUGGACGAACACGCUCCAGAUUCUAAUUACUUGCGGCUGCAGUUUUCUCGGUUCCCAGGUCCCAGGUCUGGACCUGGACGUAACAAGAGGUGAUAGGCAUUAGGUAAUGAGAAACAUCUGUGUUGACGUAAUCAAGAUUAUAUUAGCUCUUAUACAUUCCAUAUAUAUUCUCCUUUCUGUAGUGGUAACCACAUUGUACCCAGAAUAUACAAUGUUAAUUGCUCAGGCUUGGGCACACACUAACUGUAAGUACUUGUUAUGCACGCUGUUGUUUCCAGGUAGUGAAUUCAGAUAGUUUUAUAGUAGUUCUAUUUAACGGAGAUCUGAUUUUGCAUUUCCAUGGUCUACGAAAUUUACUGAAGGAAUGUUUUUAAUUCUGAAUAUCUUCUUCUCUUUGACGAAAUUUACUGAAGGAAUGUUUUUAAUUCUGAAUAUCUUCUUCUCUUUGACAAUAUACCAUGUAUAGACUACCGCAAAAUUAGUAGAGAUAGUUUCCAUACAGAUUGUUUCCAUAUUCUGGAGGACUUCCAUUGCCGGAGUAUCUUGCCACCAUAGUGUCCCGUGCCAAUGACAUAAUGUGUUGUGGAGACACUUCAAAUGGCACUAGGCAUGUGUUGUACCUGUCCCAUGAAAGUUGCUCUCCAUAUUUAGAAGCGGGAAUCAUUCUUGGGGAUGGAGAUACAUAUGAAGAAGAAUAAAACCCUAAUCAAAGGGGUGAAAUCUUCCACAUUUGAUCACCAAAUUAGGUGGCUUAAGCAUUCAAGUGCAACAUGAAAUGAACUGCCUCCGUACAAGAGUAGUUAGAAGCAAUCUGGAUGUUGCAAUCCUAAUGGGCCAAGAGUUGGAUUAUAGAACUAGAAAUGCUUGUAGUCUUAUAGAUGUGGCUAGCUGCCGAGGCACAAUCCCCUUGAAAACUAGUGGUUUUUUAGCAUGAUUUGCAGGCUUCCGUUAUAGAUAUUGUAUGGGAAGUGAUUUCCCAACUCUCUUUCUUACCUCGUACAACUCCCUUUUUUCUUAGGUUUAGGGUUGGAUAAAUUAAAGGAGAAUCAAUUAAAAGAACAAAAGGUGAAUGCAUAAGGAGAAAACGAAUGAAACCCUAAUCAAAGUUGUGAAAUCUUCCACAUUUGAUCGCCAAAUUACUGAUGGAGAUGCUGCUUUCUCCUUGUAUUUAGGGUUGGAUAAAUCAAAGGAGAAUUAAACGAAAGAAACAAAAGAUGAAUAACGUGAUUGCAGGAGGAGAAAACGGGAAUGUGAAGAUCACUACCCUAUUUAAUUUGUCUUUUAUUGUAGGUUGCACUGCCUGUAGAACUGUAGAAGAGCAAAGACAGUGCAUGAUGAGAAUAGACAGUGCAUGGUGUCAUGUCUAUUGGUGUUAGAAAUUUGAUCCGAGUCUUUCCUUUUUGGAUUACAGUGAAGGACUGAGGCUUAUGCUAUAUCGUCCCUCCCAAUGCUAAGCACUAGCUAGUGGGCUGCCGAUUACAUCACAUGGGCUUUGAACUCUGUCAAUUAUUUCAAAAGACCUUUGCCUCUUCAAUGAGAGCCUCUAACCCAUAAUCCUAUGCUCCUAGAGCUAGAGCUUCUCCCCACCCUUCUUGGCAUUAACACACAGCUGGGAUAUACUUUUGUAUCUGUUUCUUCACGUGAUUAAUGAUUCGUUUGAUUGCUUUCUUCAAAAGGCACUUAUACUGUAACUGCUUUUGUUGUAAACACUUUGAUUUUUUUUUAUUGAACAUCCAAAGUGUUACACAGAAAAAAGCACUUAAAAAGUGCCUCCUGAAAGAGCAUAUGAUAGGUGCUUCUCUAAAAAACACUAUUACGAGCCAAAAGCACUUCUAAAUUUUUUUUGCCAAGCACAACAUAAAACGCUUUUGGCUUUUAUAGAAGCAAUCUCAAACGAGCCCUAAGUAAAAAGAGGUUUAUAUAGGCCACUAGACCCAAACGAAAGAGAAAACUAAUAGUGGGCAAUGAAUUGGUUUUCGAUCUACCGUCAAAUUGGCAUAGAUUAUGAUUCUCUCCCUUCUUCUUUCCAUCCCCUCCUCUCACAUUCUCUAUUUUGUCUUUCUCUUUCUAUAAAAACUUAAUAUAAGAUGUUGACGUAGCUUAACCGUGACCGUUCAAAUAAGAGGGGAGGGAAGGGGAGGGAAGAAAAGAGGGGAGAGAAUCCUACUCCAAUUGGCACAACAUUCGGCAUUGUUUUGCAAGGAUGCUUUCUUCUUAGCAUUGAUUUACACACACUCUAGUAUGUGGUAUAAAACGAGCGAGGGUUUGGCUGGAGAACGAGUCUGAGUCGUUAAUGCCAUGUGGGCUGGAGGGUUUCAUUUGGUGCCAUUACUCCUUUUCGUGUUUCUAUCAUCCUUUUGGAACUGGAAGAGAAGUGGAGGGGAAAAAGGUAGUUUAGGGCAAAAAGGAUAUUGAGUUUAUAAACCAGGAAAAUGGCUAAGCAAUUAUUUGGUGCCAAUGUGACCCUUACCAAAAUAUAGACUAGUUGUGGUAAAAAAGAAAAAGGCAAAAGGGGGUAACUUUAAAUACAAAUUGUACCAAAGUGUAAAUUGUCCCACAGCUUGUCCAGGGACCAGAUCAUUGAGUUGUUGCUGCAAGCCUGCAAGGAGAAAGUUGUGGAUUAGAUAGACGCAUCGUCUUCGUUUGGUAUCAUUCCAAGUCGUCCUGGGUGUUUCUUCUUCAAUUUGGCCUCUUUCUUCCUUUGGAUUUUUGAGCUCAUGAGCAAAUUGAUUGUCGUUUUCUGUUUCCUGAAGACAAAAUUUGACUGUUUGAAAAAACACUUUUUCAUGAAAAAUUAGUUUGAAAUCUAUUCUACACCUAAAUGGACAUCAAUCAUUAAUUUUGUGUUAACUAAGAAUGUAUGUAUGAAUUCUUGUAUUAGGAUUUAGUAGUAUCUCUCUUUAUUUUUAAGUGAGAAACCUUAAGUUUGAUUCUCAUAAAUUACGAGUUCGAAACCAAACUCUUCUCGGCCCAUUAGUGUAACUCUGUUAGGCUUUCAUCCCUGAUAUCGUUGUAUAACAAAACUAUAUGCAUGAAUUAUUACUUGAGGACGGAGGAAAAAACAAAUUCACUUGACUUAUUUCCAAAUUAAGGCUUUAUUUCUUCCUGAUUUUAGAAUUACCUGAUUAUCUAGCCUAUGCUCAUACCACAUUGAACUUCAACGAUUCAAACUGUUUAUUUUUUAAGUUGCACCUCAUAGAUCAUUUUUGUGAAAUAUUAGCUAAAUUAAAAAUAUAUGAGGUAUCUAAUUGAGUACAAAAAAAAAUUGACGAACACUAUAUAUUCUAAGAAGCAUAUGAAAUUUCAUCUUAACAAUUAAAUAGGCAAAUAAUUUCGGAUUGAAUUAAAUUUUUGUAAGGAUUGUCUAUUAAUUAAGACUUAUAAAAUAGAAGGUACAUAUCGUUGAAAUUUAAUAUACUGUAAGCUCCACAACUAAUCCUCAUUUAAAAAAAAUAGAAAUCCCUUGUUAAGGCAUGUGCUUUUGAGUAGGUAAAAUUUGAAACGUGAGAUGUCGUUCACUAUGGAAACAAAGAUCGAAAGCCUUCAUGGUCCCAUUCCUUGAAUCAGAACAAAAGAACUUUAAAGAAAAGUCCUUUAACUCUGUCCAACUUUGGAUACUUUUGUUCAUGCAUGCAUUCACUGACUGAUCUGAUCUCGUUGUUUUGAAGGGAAGAGAUUUUUCAGUGUAAUCGGUAUAUGAGUUGGUACAUCACUUGUUAAUAUACAAAUGAUGAGAUAUAUGUGUUAAAAAGUUAAUAACUUAAAAAAUAAAAUUUUCCACCACUUACAUAAAAACAUGUGAUAUACUACUUGUAUUUCCGUCACAAUGAAAAAUUUCUCCUUGAAGGAUAAGAGAGGAAAUUCCAGACUAAACUACGUGGCACUACAUGCAGCAUGUCAAUUACAUCAACUCUUCAAGCUUUCAACCCUUUCAUGGCAUCUUCAAAGCAUAUGCCUAACUUCUUAGAAAUAUGACCAACAUCUAACAUUUUUGUAAUCCAUAAAGAAAUACAUACGUUAACAUUUAGAAACAAAAUCCAGACAAUAAGAGAGAGAUGGCUGUCCAGAAAAAAAGUAAGAGACAGAUGCAUCCAUUGAUAUAAAAAAGAAAGAAAAAAGAGAUGCAUCAACAACUCAAUAUUUAUUACCUAUUGAAUCGCAGUUUUACAUACAUAUCAUUGCUAAUGAGAUUGGCACUAUUAGUUAUCGAGGACAUAGCAAUCUGUAUUGUAUUUACAAUUAUAUGAGUUAAACUUCAUACAUCCUCCGAUUAAAUGACAAUAACUACUAUAAAAAUGUUUAUAUGUAAGUAGGCUACAUAAAUACACAUAAACAAAUAAGUUCUUGUAUAUAUGCUAUACUUUGAUUUGUUUAUAACAGGAAAAGGUUCCACAUUAUUGCUAGCUAGGCUAAGCUCACAUCCCUCUCACUUAAUGUAGAUAAUAUCAUUUGUUAAAAAUAAAAAAAAGACUCAACAAGGAAUCACUAUUUGUUUCUUUAUAACCAUAAAUUUAUGUAGAGCAACCGAUUGAGUAUCUCAAAGUUCUUAUUCGUAUACAACACACGUUGAGACAGGUAAUAAUUAUAACAAAAUUAAAGACUAUAAUCUUAUAACGUUUUUAGAUUAGCUAAAACAUUGGUAUACAUAUUUAGCUUGCUAAAAACAUAUGUCGAAAUGUGCCACACCUGGAGGAUUUGUAACAAAUUCAUCGUUUUAGAACAAUAAGAAAUGACACGUUGCCUGUAAGAAUUUUAUAGUUUGUUGAAUGCCAUCAACAUCCAUCACGUUUGAAAAUAUGGGCGGCAUUGUCUGGGUUGUAAGACCCCUAUAUUCGUUUGUUCCUGUGCUAAACAAGGAUGGCCUCCCUUGCCCUCCUCUUUAGAUUUCUGUUAGGAUGAGAUUAAGGUGACUUGGGGCUUGUUCCAAGUUUGUGUUUUCUACCUUCUUCUCAUUGUGUAGUUCUUGUUGGUCUCUCUAGGCCUUCUGUUUCUUUUGGCUUCGGCCCUGGUAUUGAUUUUCCCAGUUUCUCAAAAAAAAAAAAAAAAAAAAGUUAUGGGAGUCCCUCUCUCACAUUAAUAAAGUCUGGACCCAAGAAAAAGCAAAAGGAUCCGGCAAGGAUCCGUUUGCCGGAUCCUUUUCCACAGGUUUGGGUACAUUAAUGAUCACUACAAGAAAAAGGAAAAGGAUCCGGCAAUAAAGUUUGGACCCAAGAAAAAGGAAAGGGAUCCGGCAGGGAUCCGUUUGUUGGAUCAUUUCAAAAUUUAAAAUUUAAAAUUAAAUAUAAAUAAUACCUACAAAAACUGACCGCACAAUGUAUGAUGAACGAUCACGAUCACGGGAUCCCUAGGAAAAGAAUCCGGCGAGGAUCCUUUUCCCGAGAAAAGUAGGCUUUAGUCACGAUUUGUUAAGAUUAAUCUAACCUAAAAGCUAUACCACAUUCUAAACACAAAAUUUGGUAAGAAUAUGAUGAUUUAUUUUAUUUUCUCAAACUAUAGAGCAGUUACGUACUCACACACCGGCGACAAUUAUCCUCCCCCAAAUCUGGGUAUAUUUCUACUAAAAAAAAUGUUUACAUAUAGAAACCGUAUAGUAAGUUUAUUGAAAUUGGCUCUGUAUUAAUGGAAUCUCCGCAUCCGUACAUUAAAUUAGAGUGGAACUCGAGGAAAUGGAGUACAUACGAAGAUAAGAAGACGAAGAAGAAAACUACAAACUUGGAGCUUCAAGGAGAGGGACUGAGCAGGGAGUAUAAAGAAAACAUUGUAUUUUUCUUCGAAGAUCUUUCACAUUUUCUUCUUGGUUUCAAGGAGAGGGAACUGAGCAGGGAGUAUAAAGAGCCAAAGCCCAGAAUUCCACAAUGAAAAAGAAAACAUUGUAUUUUUCUUCGAAGAUCCUUCACAUUUUCUUCUUCGCUUUACAGAAUCAAAUAGCAUAUUCUCACCCCCAAGAAACGAUAUAAGAAAACAGCCAAAUUAAGGUAAAUUCGAUAUAAUGCAUUUUUUUAUAGCAACUUGGCAAACAAAAACAUAGUAGAAGAAAACAAGGAAUAUACAAAGAAAUUAAGGAAGUUUGGGAAAACGAAGAAAUAUAAUAAAGGACCAACUCUCAAUGAGUUUAUAAUACUAUAUACGGUGCAAAUGUAUAUGUUCAGGAAAUAAACUUUUAGCGAAAAUAAGCUGCAAAUUUGACUAAAUUUUUCUUCAUAUUUACACUCAAUUUUUUUCAAGAAUAUAUAUAGAGUUUGGCCAAAGGAAUUAACUUCGUUCCUUAACGAUUGAGGAGGAGUUCCUCCCCAAUUCACAUUGUGGCUGAUUAUGGACCUUCAUUCUUAUAAUCGGAAGAGUAUAGAAACUACUCUUUUUAUCGUCGAAUCCGGAAGGAAGAAGUGGUUGUAGCUUUGAAGAAGAUGAAGCAUAAAAAAGCAAUAGGCCCAGACGAUAUACCAAUCGAAGUGUGGAAACUUUUGGGAGAGACGGGUAUAACAUGGCUCACUGACCUUUUCAAUAGGAUUUUGAAAACGAAGAAGAUGCCAAAUGAGUGGCGAACGAGCACUUUGGUGCCUAUCUACAAGAAUAAGGGCGACGUACAAAAUUGCAUGAACUAUAGGGGUAUUAAGCUAAUGAGUCAUACAAUGAAGCUCUGGGAGAGAGUCAUUGAGCAUAGAUUGAGGCAAGAGACACGGGUUUCGGACAACCAAUUCGGGUUCAUGCCAGGGCGCUCAACCAUGGAGGCAAUCUAUCUCUUACGAAGAUUGAUGGAAAGAUAUAGAGAUGGGAAAAAGGAUUUACACAUGGUCUUUAUAGAUUUGGAAAAAGCGUAUGAUAGGGUCCCAAGAGACAUUCUUUGGAGGAUUUUAGAGAAGAAAGGAGUACGAGUAGCAUAUAUCCAAGCUAUAAAGGAUAUGUAUGAAGGAGCAAAGACUGCCGUAAGAACUCAUGAAGGACAAACCGAAAGCUUUCCCAUAACUGUAGGAUUACAUCAAGGCUCAUCCUUAAGUCCUUACCUUUUUGCGUUGGUAAUGGAUGAGUUAACAGGACAUAUUCAAGAUGAUAUUCCUUGGUGUAUGCUUUUCGCAGACGAUAUAGUGUUGAUAGAUGAAACUCAGGAAGGGGUAAAUGCAAAGCUUAACCUUUGGAGAGAAGUGUUGGAAUCUAAAGGUCUUCGCCUAAGCCGAUCAAAGACAGAAUAUAUGGAGUGCAAGUUCAGUGCAAAUGGAGGCCAAAACGAGUUAGGGGUGAGGAUCGGAGAUCAAGAAAUACCAAAGAGCGACCGUUUUCGUUACCUAGGAUCUAUCUUGCAAAAGAACGGAGAAUUAGAUGGAGAUCUCAACCAUAGAAUACAAGCUGGAUGGAUGAAGUGGAAGAGUGCAUCCGGCGUGUUGUGUGACCGCCGUAUGCCACUGAAGCUCAAGGGAAAAUUUUAUAGGACGGCAAUAAGGCCGGCGAUGCUGUAUGGCACAGAAUGUUGGGCGGUGAAACAUCAACACGUACACAAAAUGGGUGUAGCGGAGAUGAGGAUGCUUCGUUGGAUGUGUGGGCACACGAGAAAGGAUAAGAUUAGGAAUGAGGAUAUCCGGGGUAAAGUAGGAGUAGCCGAAAUUGAAGGAAAGAUGAGAGAAAAUCGGUUACGGUGGUUUGGACAUGUGCAAAGAAGGCCUACUGACGCUCCGAUUAGAAGAUGCGACUAUGGGACAGAGGUUCAGGGCCGAAGGGGUAGAGGAAGACCUAGGAAAACUUUGGAAAGAGACUCUAAGAAAAGACUUAGAGUACUUGGAUCUAACGAAGGACAUGACACAGGAUCGAGCACAAUGGCGUUCUAAGAUUCAUAUAGCCGAUCCCACUCAGUGACUUGGAUUUUCCAAGUCUCCAACCGAGAAGUUUUCCUCACUCGGGAAAUUAAGGGAACACUACCCCAACCUACAUGCUCCACUCAGAAAGCUUCAACAUACAAGCUUCAACAAAAGAAAAUUCAAAGAACUUAGCGAAGAAGGCUUUGGUGUAUUUAACACAAUACGUUGAAAUGAAGGAAAGCUUAUUUAUUGAUAUCCCCGAUAAGCUACAAAUAUGUACAUAUACAUGAGUCAAAAUAAACACACAAGAGGGAGCCUUCACAAAGGUUGCUUAGGAGAAGUCUCAGCAGUCGGUAGAGCCCCAGAAAGAGAAGGCACCGGAGGGGGAUCAUUUGGAGCCUCAGUACUGGACAGAACCCUAGAAGGAGGAGGCAUCAGAGGUUGAUCAUUUGGAGCUUCAUUACGCGGUACAGCCCCAGAAGACGAAGGCAAUAAAUGCCUUUGGAACAAACCCACAAAUCUCUGAUGAUCAAGUAAAACCUGACCAUCAGUUUCCUUCAUCUGGUCAAGCUUCCUCUUCAUGUUUGUAGCAUAGUCAUGUGCGAGCCGGUGCAACUGUUUAUUCUCAUGCUUGAGCCCUCUAAUCUCCUGUUUGAGACUCAUCACUUCAGCCGCCAAUGAUUCAACUUGGCGGGUUCGAGCAAAUAGGCGUUGGGCCAUAUUAGACACAGAACCUGCACACUGAACACUGAGAGCCAGCGAAUCCUUAACAGCUAACUCAUCAGACCGUUUGGAAAGUAGUCUGUUAUCUUUGGGAGUGAGAAGGUUCCUGGCCACCACCGCAGCGGUCAUAUCAUUCUUCAUCACGGAAUCCCCAACGGUAAGAGGACCAGUAGGGGAGACGAAGGAUGGGCGCCAUAUGUUGUCUGGAGAAGGCGGGGCUGCCUCUUCAACAAGGUUCAAGUCAAAACGACGGUCGGAGGGGCCAGACAUUUUCAAAGGUGUUGAAGAGAGAAGAGGUCGGACAAAUCAAGAUCUUAGAAGUGCAAGAAUGAAGCUUCUACUGGUGGAGAUUCAAGUGUGCUUUGGAACUUAAUGCCAGCCCCUAUAAAAAUCUGCACUCGACGGAGCUCGCCUGCUCAGAAAUCGAAGAGGCGUUUGCUUUCUCAAAAGCUGGGCUGCUUAGAGAUCACGAGGGUUGAUCUCAGAAAUCGAAGAGGCGUUUGCUUUCUCAAAAGUUGGGCUGCUCAAAGACCACGAAGGCCGAUCUCAGAAAUCGAAGAGGCGCUCGCUUUCUCAAAAGCUGGGCUCCCCAGAGACCACGAGGGCCGAUCUCAGAAAUCGAAGAGGCACCUACUUUUCCAGCCUUGUCAGCACCUGUCACACGCACACUCAGCUUUGCGGAAAUUAUGGGCAUUCUGUCGAAGACUUCUGGGGAAGUAGAAAACACAUGAAUCUUACUGUUCAAUCACCCACUUCCCACACGCAACAAUAGCUCAUGGGUACCACAGAUAACUUUGCCAAAGUUCUCUGCCAAAGUUGAGCACGUGAAGCUUGCAGCUCCCACUACAUCGCUCUGACCAAGAAGGGUAAAAGAAUAGCAAAGAAACAGCACUAACAAAGUUUAGACCCAUAAAUUUUGAAGGUCUAGCUACCAUAUUAUUACCCACAAGGGUAAAGGAACAGUACCACUGCUGGAUAAUUGGAAAGUCCCUGUGUGUCAACCUCUGUGCUUCGUGGCAAGGUAGACUAGCAAACAUGCCCAACCUUUACUCACAUUCGAGAAAACACUCCCAAUAAGAUUGCUUGCUCCAAAAUCGAAGAGGCACCGUCCUCCGAAUCUCGAGAGCCAGACUCCCAACAUGACUACUUUCUUAAAAAUCGAAGAGAGGGUAAAGGAACAGUACCAUUGCUGGAUAAUUGGAAAGUCCCUGUGUGUCAACCUCUGUGCUUCGUGGCAAGGUAGACUAGCAAACAUGCCCAACCUUUACUCACAUUCGAGAAAACACUCCCAACAAGAUUGCUUGCUCCAAAAUCGAAGAGGCACCGCCCUCCGAAUCUCGAGAGCCAGACUCCCAACAUGAUUACUUUCUCAAAAAUCGAAGAGACACUGCUCCCCGAAUCUUCGAGAGCCAGACCCCCAGCAUGAUUGCUUUCUCAAAAAUCGAUGAGGCAUCGUUCUCCGAAUCAAUCGAAGAGGCGCUCGCUUUCUCAAAAGCUGGGCUGCUCAGAGACCACGAGGGCCGAUCUCAGAAAUCGAAGAGGCACCUACUUUUCUAGCCUUGUCAGCACCUGUCACACGCACACUCAGCUUUGCAGAAAUUAUGGGCAUUCUGUCGAAGACUUCUGGUGAAGUAGAAAGCACAUGAAUCUUACUGUUCAAUCACCCACUUCCCACACGCAACAAUAGCUCAUGGGUACCACAGAUAACUUUGCCAAAGUUCUCUGCCAAAGUUGAGCACGUGAAGCUUGCAGCUCCCACUACAUCGCUCUGACCAAGAAAGGUAAAAGAAUAGCAAAGAAACAGCACUAACAAAGUUUAGACACAUAAAUUUUGAAGGUCUAGCUACCAUAUUAUUACCCACAAGGGUAAAGGAACAGUACCACUGCUGGAUAAUUGGAAAGUCCCUGUGUGUCAACCUCUGUGCUUCGUGGCAAGGUAGACUAGCAAACAUGCCCAACCUUUACUCACAUUCGAGAAAACACUCCCAACAAGAUUGCUUGCUCCAAAAUCGAAGAGGCACCGUCCUCCGAAUCUCGAGAGCCAGACUCCCAACAUGACUACUUUCUCAAAAUCGAAGAGAGGGUAAAGGAACAGUACCAUUGCUGGAUAAUUGGAAAGUCCCUGUGUGUCAACCUUUGUGCUUCGUGGCAAGGUAGACUAGCAAACAUGCCCAACCUUUACUCACAUUCGAGACAACACUCCCAACAAGAUUGCUUGCUCCAAAAUCGAAGAGGCACCGCCCUCCGAAUCUCGAGAGCCAGACUCCCAACAUGAUUACUUCCUCAAAAAUCGAAGAGACACUGCUCUCCGAAUCUCGAGAGCCAGACCCCCAGCAUGAUUGCUUUCUCAAAAAUCGAAGAGGCAUCGUUCUCCGAAUCUCGAGAGCCAGAUACCACAGACCACUUUUUCAAAGUGCUCUGACAGAGUUAAAACAUGUGAAACUGGCAGCUCCCACUACCGUGCUAUGACCAAGCAGGGUAAAGGAAUAGCAUUACUACUUGUUGUUAGGGAGACUCCUAUAUAUGUCGACCUCCAUCCCCAACGGACAGGCAGACCUGCAAAAAUGCUCAACCCUUCAUCAUAUCUGAGAGGGCACUCCCAACGAAGCCUUUCGAAAUAUUCAGCUUUCUUUCCCCCCGAUAAUACCUCUGCAAACAAGCUAUACUAGAGCAAGAAUAUCUCAUAUCAUCAGGGUUAAAAGCAAGAGUAUCCCAUAUCAUGCUUUUUCCCUGUCUUUUCCUUUGGCCUUGUUUUUACCUGCAAGACAAGGAGAAAGAGAGCAAUCAGUCAGCACUUGGAAUCAAGCUUCCAGCCAGGAACUGACUGCCUGGAACCCCUUACCUGAUUACUUACCUGGCAUUGCUCUCGAGUACUCAUCUUCAACAUCUUAUGUUUCCAGGGAAGAUUCCGCAUCUGCUUGAGGAACAGAUAGGGCAAGUGCGAAGGAUACAAGGAAGCAUGUGGAGACAAGCGUAACAGCACACGUGCCGAUACAUCCAUUACUCUGUCAAAAGCAAAAGUAUCCCAUAUCAGCAGGGUGGAACGUACUCUAGAUUUGAUGGACUUGUUUUGACCCUCAAAUUCUUCAGUCGGCCUUAUACUCUGGAGGAAACCAGAAAACCCUCCAGCUCAGUUCAAGAAUAAGCCUGUGGAAAGUUACUUCUUCAAAAGCAAAAGUAUCUCAUAUCAUCUCUUCUCAUUUUUCUUCUCUUUAUCCUUCAUGCUGCUGCAAGAUGGGGAGAAGGUGAACAAUCAGUCGGAGCUCUGAUUGCUUACCUUGUCUGUCACCUCUUUCAGCAGACCCCCUAGCUCGGCGACUUGGGGGACUCCUACUACAUGGUUUGUAUCGCGCUUGACCAAGCCUGAAACUACAAGUAAGCUUCAAGUGAAAUUGAUACAUUACCUUGUGCAUCUCCACCAGUUAAAGAUACCACCCCUGGAUGGAGGAAGAGUACUUCCAGAGAAGAUGCCACAUCUACCUAUGAGACAGAUAAGGCAAGUCAAGACGACACCACACUCCGAUACUUAGAAGUUUCGUGAUUACGAGAUCAUUCUCCCACAAUAUUUCCUAAUGUCAUUUGUACUAAAUCAUUCACUUGUACUCACUAAAGGAGAGCUUGAACCUAUGUACUUGUGUAAACCCUUCACAAUUAAUGAGAACUCUUCUAUUCCGUGGACGUAGCCAAUCUGGGUGAACCACGUACAUCUUGUGUUUGCUUUCCUAUCUCUAUCCAUUUAUAUACUUAUCCACACUAAUGACCGGAGCAAUCUAGCGAAGAUCACAAAAAGCGACCGUUUUCGCUACCUAGGAUCUAUCUUGCAAGAGAACGGAGAAUUAGAUGGAGAUCUCAACCAUAGAAUACGAGCUGGAUGGAUGAAGUGUAAGAGUGCAUCCGGCGUGUUGUGUGACCGUCGUAGGCCACUGAAGCUCAAGGGAAAAUUUUAUAGGACGGCAAUAAGGCCAGCGAUGUUGUAUGGCACAGAAUGUUGGGCGGUGAAGCAUCAACACGUACACAAAAUGGGUGUAGCGGAGAUGAGGAUGCUUCGUGGGAUGUGUGGGCACACGAGAAAGGAUAAGAUUGGGAAUGAGGAUAUCCGAGGUAAAGUAGGAGUAGCCGAAAUUGUAGGAAAGAUGAGAGAAAAUCGGCUCCGGUGAUUUGGACAUGUGCAAAGAAGGCCGAAUGACGCUCCGGUUCGAAGAUGUGACUACGGGACAGAGGUUCAGGGCCGAAGGGGUAGAGGAAGACCUAGGAAAACUUUGGAAGAGACUCUAAGAAAAGACUUAGAGUACUUGGAUCUAACGGAGGACAUGACACAAAACCGAGCGCAAUGGCGUUCUAGGAUUCAUAUAGCCGACCCCACUUAGUGGGAAAAGGCUUUGUUGUUGUUGUUGUUGUUGUAUUCUUAUAAUCGGAAUUAUUCAUAUUAUAAAUUACUGUGUCAAUAUCAUCUCCACAAAAAAAAUCAAUUAAAUAUAAGAUCGUUUGGUCAUGAAACUGUGUAAAAAUAGAUGAACCGAUCCGGUACAUGAAUUCCGAAACUUCUAUCUACUUGCUAUAAUUUAUUGACUAAACAAUCUUAGUUUUAAUUAAUUUUUUUUAGAGAUGAUCUUUAAUUAUAAAGUAAUUUAUAAUAUGAAUGAUUCUGAUCAUAAGUACGAACUUCUUCUCAAUCUUGAGAAGCCAAGCCUUCCUCAAAAGUUAAAUAAAAAACAAAACCAAAAUGAUGCUCGGCUUCCUGGGUACUCAGCUAAACUCUCCACCUCCUUUCAUCUUACAAGCUUCUAGAUUUAGAUUUGUCUCAAAUGACAUGCCAACUAAUCUGCCCAGCUCAAUUUUGAUUCUUUGAAAUUUCCAGUGCCUCUACUUUUUCAUUUCUAAAUCUUACUUACUCCCAUUAUAUAUAAUUAGUUUUUUUUAUAUAUAUAGAUUUAUAAAGAUGCUUUGUCUAGAUAUGAAAGACAUAGUAGUGAUUCAAAGAGAUCAUUUGGAGCCAAAAAUAGUUAGGUGUAGUCAAAUUCGGAUUUGAGAGUAUUUUAAAAGACUUUAAAAUCCUAGUAUAGUCAAUUAAAAGAUUUUAAAGGAUUUUAAACUCUAUCCAAAUCUAAGUGUAUUAAAAAAAUUAAGAUUUUGGAGGAUUUCAAUAAGUUGUGGAUUUUGUAGGAUUUGAAAGCAAGAAGUAUGUCACAGUCCCGGAGAUGUACGUUAAUUAUUUAUCGGAGGUGUGAAAAGUCGGAGUUACCCCUGGACGUUGAGUUGUAUUAUUGGUUUAAUUGUGUUUUUGGACCAAUAUUAUUAAAUCCUAAUUGUUUGGAAUCAAUUAGGAUUAGAGUUUGGUGUAUUGUGGGUUGUUGACUAUUUUGGACCACACAUCACUCCAUUCUCUCUCUCACUCCCGUGCACUCUCUCUCGGUUUCACUCUCUCUCUCCUUUGAACUCGUACGGACAAUCACCCAAAACCCUUGAAACUUCACGGAUCGUGGUCAAGGUUGGCACCAUUGUGUUCGUGAAGCUCAGACGAGUCGAUUGGUACCCAUUUCAGGUAAAGAUACCUUCGAAAACCCUAGUUUUUCAUAACCCCCGAUUUGUGCAUUGUUCAUGCACACGUAAUUAUGGAUGGUUUUGGAAUUUGAAGCUUGUAGGAAGCUUAGUGAGGUCCUAAGGAAGCUCGAAGUGCUUCGUUUGAAGGUUUUGGACGUUGGGAUCGUGUGGAUGAAGUUUGGCCAGUUUUUCUUGGAAUUCUCCGGUGAGAUCCCGUGACUUUUAAAACUUUAAAUUAGUAUGAUUGUGUUCUACAAGUUAAGAGCUUCAUUUUGGUAUAAAUUGCGUAAAAAAUGGUGCAAAAAUGAGCAAUAAAUAGGCAGUUGCAGGUUUGCCCAAAAUCCGGUGCCGGUGACACUAUUCCAGCAUCUGGAGGUUGAAGAUGCCGCGCGUGGGGGGCGCGUUUUGCCAUGCCCUUGCCGGAUGAUUGUGUUCUACAAGUUAAGAGCUUCAUUUUGGUAUAAAUUGCGUAAAAAAUGGUGCAAAAAUGAGCAAGAAAUAGGCAGUUGCAGGUCUGCCCAAAAUCCGGUGCCAGUGACAUUAUUCCGGCGUCUGGAGGUUGAAGAUGCCGCGCGUGGGAGGCGCGUUUUGCCGUGCCCUUGCCAGCGCAUGGGAGCUUGAAAAUUUUAUCUAAAAAUUUAGGGAUGAUCCUGAGGUUGUAUAGGUCACUGUGGUGUAUUCAUAUACCUAUUUUGAGCAAUGUAUGAAAAGUUAUUAGUUAGUUUCACCUAUGUGCUUUAAAAUAACGUUUUUAUAGUUAAUUCGCAUAUAGGUGAGGCUUAUCCCAAGGACGAGCGUAUCCACGGGCGACUCGGGGGCUACGACCCUUCGACAUACCAGUGAGUGGGAUUUUGUUUUCAGUAUAUACUUAUACACUAGAUAUAUUUCCUAGAAAUGCAUUUUUUUCAAGGAAACUAUGCUUUGAAAUAGUAUGCCAAAUGCUUUUAUAUUCUGAAUAUGCAUUUCAUGGUUGCAUAUAUAUAUAUAUAUAUAUAUAUAUAUAUAUAUAUAUGUGGUGUUGUGGAGGCACAGGUAAGUUCAGGUAAGUUAUGUUUGGUUAUAUGAAUCAUCGAUAAAGUGAUAUGUGAUUGAAUAAUGUUGAGCUUAUAAAACUGCACCUAAGGUGAUUGUGAUUUAGCCAGAGAUGUGAAGUACAUGCCUGUUUAUUUACGUCACCUCCCGCACUAUAUGCUCAUAUUGGAUCUAAUUUAAGUGCACAGUUUUGUCGUACAGACCUUAUUUAUGGUUCCGACUCGUAGGUGACUAGCGAUUUAUCGCCCGGCUAUUAUGAGAGAGUAAAAUUGAGCAUAAUUAUAUUACACCCAAUCUUGUCUUACAGACCCCUUUUUAGUGGUUCCGACUUAUGUGCAGUACAUUGCCGUAUAGGUCAUUGUAGUGACUCCGGCUAGAUUGACUUUGAGCUAUGAAUUCAACCGUACAGACUAUCACAGGGGUUCCGGCUAACAUAUCAUAUUUCUAUGAAUUUAUUCUUACCUGAAUUGUUUACUCUGUUAUAACUUGGCAUAACAUACAUUUAAAUAUGAUUAUGUGAAGCAUGAAUUGAAUUGAUAUGAUUUCAUAUAUAUAUAUAUAUAUAUAUAUAUAUAUAUAUAUAUUAUGUAUAUGCUUAUAUCUUGGUUUUGGGAAAAAUUAUACAUGUUUGACAGCGAGGGGUUAGUAUAUUGAUAAAUGAAAUGGUUUUGUAAAACAUUUGUUUUUGCCCACUCACGUUUUCUGUUUUGCUCCCUUCCAGGUUUUAACUAAGCUUGCUGUUGGUGGCUUGAGGACGUCGGCAGUUUUGACUUAUCUAAAUAAUAGUAGGACAUUGCUGGUACUGUAUAGCUAGUACUUGUCUUACUGGACUACACCUAGACUUUAUGCUCUGAUUAGGAGUGUUUACUGUUGUAACUAACUUCUAUCACUUUCUGUUUAGUAGUGCACUCUAGUAAAUUGGUUUUCAAUUAUUCGUAUAAUUCUUAUCAUUAUCGCUUCCGCACUGUGCACAUGGCUACGCACCCUCACGUGACGGUCAUCAUGGCUUGAUCUCGGUCGGGGUGUGUCAAAGUAUAUAUAACCAAGACUAAAAAUAAUCCAACCUCACCCUCUAGAAUUUCAAAUCAUUUUCCAUCUGAGCAGUCCUCAGAUCUCUACCAACCCCAGCUACACACAGGUAACCACCAUAUACUUUGGUGGAAUCUCUUAUUAUGACCCUUAGACUUUAAUUAGGCAUGUAUGAUCAUCGAAGGACAUGAUCGAUCUAGGAUUUUGGUUAAUACUACUCUCACACCAUUUUGAUUUUUUUUAAUGUUUGUGGUACUACAAGCACUAUUAAAGUACCACAGCAUCCAUUUGUGGGAAAAUGGCAGUCGGUGGUGAUGGUUGUUGGUGGUUUAGUGCUCAAAAGCUCACCAAAGUUAUAUUGAUCUAUCAAUUGAGAAAGAGAUAGAGCCGUGGUUGUGUGAAAGGGGACCCGAAAAGGGAGGGGAUAAAGUGGUUAUCGAGUACAGUAGGGCAAGGGGAAAGAUUUUUCCUUUUAUUUUCAAUUAAAAAAUUAUAUUAAUAUUAUCACAUCCCAUGCUCGACUCCACCGUAGCACGAUAUUGUCCGCUUUAGGCCCCGACCACGACCACAUGGUUUUGUUUUUGUGAACUCACGCGAGAACUUCCUAGUGGGUCACCCAUCUUGGGAUUGCUCUCGCGCGAACUCGCUUAACUUUUGAGUUCCGAUGGAAUCCGAAGCCAGUGAACUCCCAAAAAGCCUCGUGCUAGGUAGAGAUGAGAAUAUACAUAUAAGGCUUAGAGGAUCCACUCCCCUGGGCGAUGUGGGAUGUUACAAUCCACCCCCCUUAGGGGUCCGAUGUCCUCGUCGGCACACUUCCGACUAGAGAUUGGCUCUGAUACCAAAUUGUCAUAUCCCGGCCCGGGCCCCCACCACAUCCCAAGCUCGACUCCAUCGUAACAUGAUAUUGUCCGUUUUGGGCCCCGACCACACCUUCACGGUUUUGUUUCUAGGAACUCACACGAGAACUUCCCAGUGGGUCACUCGGUUUUGUUUCUAGAAACUCACAUGAGAACUUCCCAGUGGGUCACCCAUCUUGGAAUUGCUCUCGCGCGAACUCGCUUAACUUCGAAGUUCUGAUGGAACUCGAAGCCAGUGAGCUCCUAAAAGGCCUCGUGCUAGGUAGAGAUAAGAAUAUACAUAUAAGGCUUAGAGGAUCCACUCCCCUAGGCGAUGUGGGAUGUUAUAAUCCACCCCCCUUAGGGGCCCGACGUCCUCGUCAACACACUUCCGACUAGAGAUUGGCUCUGAUACCAAAUUGUCACAUCCCGGUCCGGGCCCCCACCACAUCCCAGGCUCGACUCUAUCGUAGCAUGAUAUUGUCCGUUUUGGGCCCCGACCACGCCCUCACGGUUUUGUUUCUAGGAACUCAGGCGAGAACUUCCUAGUGGGUCACCCGGUUUUGUUUCUGGGAACUCACACGAGAACUUCCCAGUGGGUCACCCAUCUUGGAAUUGCUCUUGCGCGAACUUGCUUAACUUCGGAGUUCCGAUGGAACCCAAAGCCAGUGAGCUCCCAAAAAGCCUCGUGCUAGGUAGAGAUGGGAAUAUACAUAUAAGGCUUAGAGGAUCCACUCCCCUGGACGAUGUGGGAUGUUACAGUAAUAUCAAUAACUUAUUGUUGGGUUCGUUAAGCAAGUGGGCAAUUAGGUCCGUUUAUGAGAGCAUAGGUGAAAUCUUUCGAUGUCGACUAGCACAGCUCAAUUCGGAGUCCUAGUGGACAUUCUGGGUUGGUGUCCAAAAUCCACCACAAUCCACCAAAAUCUACAAACUAAAACUAUUCAAAUUCUUUAAAAUCCAUAUGAAUUUUGUAAAAGUCUUAAAUCCUCCUAAACCCUAUCAAAUUUAUCACUUUUAAAAUCCUUUAAAAUCUUAGUUUGACUACACCCCCUUAGUAUUUUAAAUUGGCUUUACUACAUUGCACAUUGAGAUGAAUUUUUAAAAUGUCCAUCUAGCUUAGCUAGCUACCAUGAAAGCUACAUGAAAGCUGACUGUCAAUUUUCCAAGGGUUUUUCCACAUGAAAUGGCAUGAAAUGGGUUAAUUUCACUUUAAAUAGUUGAUAUAAAAUGAAAACAAAAGUACAACUGGUUGAGAACCUUCCUUUCAUGUUCUCCGUAUCUUAGAGGAUAACAACAGUAGCAAGUUAGGCUGGAUCAAAUACAAGAAUGAACAUGAGAACGUGCAUGCAUGGUUACCUUUUCCUUUUGUUUUUUACAGAGAAUCUUGAGAAGCAGUCAAGGGCAACGUUAUGUUUUUACUACUGAGAUCUGUGUGCUAAAAGGAGAUUACGUAGCUAGGUUCAGUCUUCACCUAACACUCCUAUUAUCACUUGUGACUGUAAAAGAUAUACUGUUGGGGUUGGCUGACGUUAAUUAGUUGUUCAUAUUGAUUUGAGAAAUUUGAUAGAAAUGAGGAUUAACGAAUUACAAUUAGAGCUGGCAAAUAGUUGGGUUUAGUUGGUUUGGGUUAGAUUCACCACUAAUUGAUUUCUACACGGGUCAUUCAAAUUCAAUCCAUUAGCUUAUGCAAUGGUGGAGCGAUGAAUUUUUCACCGGGUGAGCUAGCUUAAAGAUUUAAAUAUUUAUAAAAAAAAAACAUGAUACUGUAUUUUCACCGUAUUAGCUAACUAAAGAAAAUUUUGACAAGGUGAGCCAAGAAUAAACAAAUACUUGUUUAAAUUCAAACAAAUCCAAACUUGUACAUAUACAAGAAUUGAUGAGAAAAAAAGAAUGUAAGAAAAAGAGAUGGUUUGUAAACUGUAUUUUAUAAUUUUAUAUAGUCAAACCGAGAGAAUUUGGAUCAGUGACUAAUAUAUGGUGGACUACAUUCGAAAAUUAAUAAAAAUUACAUGUCAAAUUUUAUUUUUGGGCUAUAGCCCAAAAUAGCCCUUAACAUGGCUCUGCCAGUGAGCUUAUGGUAAAAAUGGUUGACCCGAAAUGACUUGUUUUGUUAACGAGCUAAUCAUUUCAUCCAGUAACGAUUUUUUUUUUUUUUUUUUUUUUUUUUAACAUUCAGCUGAAACCCAACUAUUUCGCGAACUAUUUUAACGGGUCAACCGUUGGUCUAGUUUUGUACUUGCCAACAAAACAAAGAACAUAUGAAAUAGUAAAUUAUUUCAAAGUAAAUCAAAUAGCGACGUAGAUUAUAUAACAACGAGUAAUCGUUUUAACAAUUAAAAAUUUCUUUUCAUUGGUUCAUACAAUUUUCGAAUUGGUAUCAACUUUAGUGUUAUUGUAUGUUUGUACCAUAUUUGACCAAUCCCGAAAUUACUGAGCACCGGUCAACGUUAUACCGUCAAGGACCCAGAAGAGUUUCCCUCCAACUAGGAGGCCAAUCACAGCGUAACACGUGUCGACAUCAGAAGCCAAUCAUAGUGCGACACGUGUCAACAUCAAAAGCCAAUCACAACACGACACGUGUCAAUGUCAGAAUGAAACUAGAAACUCUCUUCUAUAAAUAGAGAUCAUUCUCUCAUAAUAUUUCCUAAUGUCAUUUGUACUAAAUCAUUCACCUGUACUCACUAAAGGAGAGCUUGAACCUAUGUACUUGUGUAAACCCUUCACAAUUAAUAAGAACUCCUCUACUCCGUGGACGUAGCCAAUCUGGGUGAACCACGUACAUCUUUUGUUUGCUUCCCUGUCUCUAUCCAUUUGCAUACUUAUCCACAUUAGUGACCGGAGCAAUCUAACGAAGGUCACAAACUUAACACUUUCUGUUGUACCAAAGUCCUCACUGAUUUUGUGCAUCAACAUAUGGCACCGUCUGUGGGAACGACACUUAUUCCCACUUUCUUCAGCUUUGCCAAGCUGGUUUCCACCAUUCGUACACUCUCUUUUGACCAGGCAUCCCUCUUCAACAUGGGGAGCGAAGGAAGCCACAGCAUACAGAAUGACACCCCUCAUGCACCUAGUGCGAAACAACAAAGGAAGGAAGGAAAGAGGGUUGCUCUUUAAGCUAAAUUCGAUGAGUUAGAAGCUCAGAAUAACAAGAUAGCAAUGAAGAAUGAGGUCCUCUAAGAGCAGUAUGAGAAGCUCUUUGAGACGCUCCACGAAACUAGGCGUACUCAAACACGUGAGCUCGUUGCCCCUAUGGACAUCAACCAUCAUCUGGGUGCCCCCCAACACGGAGGGUCACCUCCCUUCGACAUGGGUAUCCCUAAUGAGGAGCAAGCUAAUCAUCAAAACAUUGAUCAACAUGAGACUUCUCUCAACUCAGAUGUUUCGACCCGAAGUAGAAGAAAUGGAGGAAAACACCUCAUUGCAGAAGGGUUUGAAGGAUCAAAAGUCGUUUAUCGUGAUUGCCGAGACUUCCUAAAGCAACGUCGAGAGAAUCCCCUCCACAUAUGCUCGAAGAUCAAUGACCUAAGGGUUUCUGAAAGACUCGGUCCCUUCUCACGACCCAGGCCAGCUGCUAAUCUAGGGAAGGAAUGACAGGUCCCAGAGGAAUAUGAAGGUACGGAGGACUCUGAGGUAUUCCGAUAGACUCGUCCUAUAAGUCAGUACGGCGAGUCCAAGAAAAAACCACACGCCCUUACUCAAACUUUCCUACUUCCAAGAGGCGAUGGAAACUUACGAAAGAAAAUUCCAGUGGUACAUGACUUUACUCAGGACCCCCUUGUCCUUCAGCUUCUUGUGGAAGUAACCAAGUUGAAGGCCGAACGUCAGGCCGAGAUACCUGACUCGAACCAACCUAGGCAUGGCUCUCUCAUAAGAAGGAUCAUCGACACCCCCUUUCAAGUGAAGACAAAACAAAAGCUUAGUUUACAACUCUAUACUAGAAGGGAGGACCUAAUUGAACACCUUAACCUCUUUGAGGCCACCAUGGCAUAUCGGAUGCAUACUGACGAAGAGUAAUGUCUUCUCUUCCUCUCCACCCUCUCUGGCGGAGCUCUAAACUGGUAUUGCCAUCUUCCACCUGAGACAGUAGACUCAUUUGAGGAAUUGAGGAAACUGUUUGUCUCUCAACACAUCUUCCAGACCGAUCACUUGCAUUCUACGGAUGACUUGUACACUAUUCGCUAGAAGCCGGACGAGUCACUACGAGAGUAUGUCGGUCGCUUCAGCCAUGAGUAUUCUCGCUGCACUGAGGCAGAUGACAAGACCGCCCUCAAGGCCUUCAAGGCAGGCCUACGUGAUUGUUUCUUCAAGUACAUGAUCAAUGCCAACACUUGGAAGACUUACUCUGAGAUGAUGGCACAAGCUUACAACCACGCCUACGCCGAAGUAAAGACAUACCAAGGGAACCCCCAUAUGGUUAACCCCUAUCAAGAAAUGGGAAGUGGAAGUCAAGUUCUACCAAGUGAGGAGAUAUUAGCCUUUCAGACACCCAUUGCAUCAUCUCCUGCCUCAUUUAGCUACUCGCUAAGUCACCAAACGUAUCUGUCUCUUUGUAAGAGGAAGGAUUUUUACUCUCAGCAAGCCCAUUACAGCAAGAGGGAUAAAAGUUCGUAUCAAGACAACCAGGGGUGAACGUACCGUCGAUUAUUAUGUCUAUAGGGCCAUGCCUCACUCUUUCAAAGUGAAGGACUAGGUACUGAAGGAAAUGUUAUUAUAAGAAGGCAUACACAUUACAAAUGUUUUGACUCUUAACCGCUUGAGAUCUUUUGUCACACAAGCCAUUCGGCAAAUAUUUAAAGAAGAGGGAAUUCAUACAACUUCUUCUGAGUCUUUUGCGUUCCUAGCACUGGAACACUUGGUCUACAUUGACCUACCCUUAUACUCCAACUCAGAGCUUCAACAUGCGUACUUUGACACAAAGUAUGUGAUACUAAGUGUUACAACUAACAUGGUUCACAUAUCAAAAGCAUGGAUCCCUUCAUGCAUAGCAAAACAUUCAUCAGCAUCACACAUAUCAAUCAACAUAAACAUUAUACAUUCCAACACAUUCAUACAUAAACAUCAUACAUUCCAACACAUUCAUACAUAAACAUCAUACAUUCCAACACAUCCAUACAUAAGCCAACUGUGCUUCAAAAGGGUUCAACAUACUUUGUGUCUUCAACACUUGCUACAAUGUGCCUCGACACCUUGCCCUUAUUCUCACCAACCAGGUGAUGAAAUGUGAAGAAGGAACUCAUCUUCAUGCCACCAACCAAGUGAUGAAAUGUACAACCCGUACUCUAAUAUCAUUUGGCAACUUGCCACUCAUGCCACUAACCAGGUGAAGAAGGAACUCAUCUUCAUGCCACCAACCAGGUGAAGAAGGACCUCAUCUUCGUGCCACCAUCCAGGUGAUGAAAUGUCCAACCCGUACUCUCCUUCAUGCCACUAACCAGGUGAUGAAAUGUACAACCCGUACUCUAAUAUCAUUUGGCAACUUGCCACUCAUGCCACCAACCAGGUGAAGAAUGAACUCAUCUUCAUGCCACAAACCAGGUGAUGAAAUGUACAACCCAUACUCUCCUUCAUGCCACCAACCAGGUGAUGAAAUGUACAACCAGUACUUUAAUAUUAAUUGACAACUUGCCAUUCAUGCCACCAACCAGGUAAAGAAGGAAAACAUCUUCAUGCCACCAACCAGGUGAUGAAAUGUACAACCCGUACUCUCCUUCAUGCCACCAACCAGGUGAUAAAAUGUACAACCCGUACUCUAAUAUCAUUUGGCAACUUGCCAUUCAUGCCACCAACCAGGUGAAGAAGGAACUCAUCCUCGUGCCACCAACCAGGUGAUGAAAUGUGAUGAAAGGUGAUGAAGGAACUCACCUUCGUACCACCAACUAAGUGAUGAAAGCAACUCACCAUUCAUUCCACCUACCAGAAGACGAGUGGUACAACUUGUACAUGUGAACUCUUAGCAUUCACAAAUAAUCAAAAACCCUCAAGCUUGACAACUCAACUAGGGGAGCACUUAUGCCUAACAAGAGUUAUAGUCACCAAUAAAGUCUUAUUGCAAGCCAAUAACAACUUCAGUGCAUGGCAUACGAAGAUUAAGCUAUUCAGCCCUCUUGCAUCUGCUUCAAGCAUUUCCCCUCUGUAACAAUGCAAACACUACAACUCGUAGAAAGCUUCACACACUCUUGAUCAAGACAGUGUGAAGCAAAACCAAUUUAUGGUGCUAACAAGAGCUUCAUCAAAGAAGUUCAACCACAAUUCUUAAAAACUUCACACAUUUUUUAUCAAGACAGUGUGAAGCAAAACCAAUUUAUGGUGUCAACAAGAGCUUCAUCAACGGAGGGCAACUACAAUUCUCAAAAGCUUCACACACUCUUGAUCAAGAGAGUGAAGCAAAACUAAUUUAUAGUGCCAACAAGAGCUUCAUCAAUAGAGGGCAACCACAAUUCUCAAAAGCUUCACACACUCUUGAUCAAGACAAUGUGAAGCAAAACCAAUUUAUGGUGCCAACAAGAGCUUCAUCAAAGGAGUUCAACCACAAUUCUCAAAAGCUUCACAUACUCUUGAUCAAGACAGUGUGAAGCAAAACCAAUUUAUGGUGCCAACAAAAGCUUUAAAUUGGUGCCAACAAGAGCUUCAUCAAUGGAAGGCAACCAUAAUUCUCAAAAGCUUCACACACUCUUGAUCAAGACAGUGUGAAGCAAAACCAAUUUACGGUGCCAACACAAAUUUCAUCAAAAGAGUUCAACCACAAUUCUCAAAAGCUUCACACACUCUUGAUCAAGACAGUGUGAAGCAAAACCAAUUUAUGGUGCCAACAAAAGCUUCAUCAAUGGAAGGCAACUACAAUUCUCAAACCUUCGAAGCAAAUUCAAGACUGUUCGAAGCAAAUUCAAUUUAUAUGGUUCAUCCAAACCUUCGACUACUACAAGGUGUGGCUUGCAUCACAAUCUCUUGCUCAACAGUGUGGAAGCAAAAUUUGUAUAUGUUGUCUCUCCCACAUUUUUCAAAUUUCUAGUUUCCCAAAAAAAAAAAAUUGGGAAAUUCAACAAAGCUUCAUCAAUGGAGGACAACUACAAAUUCUCAAAAGCUUCACACUAUCUUGAUCAAGAUAGUGUGAAGCAAAAUCAAUUCGUGGUACCCAACAAAGCUUCACCACAAAAGCUUCACCAACAAAAGCUUCAUCAAUGGAGGACAACUACAAAUUCUCAAAAGCUUCACACUAUCUUGAUCAAGAUAGUGUGAAGCAAAAUCAAUUCAUGGUACCUAACAAAAAGCUUCAACUCCAAAGCUUCACCAAUAAAAACUUUAUCAAUGGAGGACAACUACAAAUUCUCAAAAGCUUCACACUAUCUUGAUCAAGAUAGUGUGAAGCAAAAUCAAUUCAUGGUACCCAACAAAAGCUUCAACUCCAAAGCUUCACCUACAAAGCUUCAACUCCAAAGCUUCACCUACAAAAGCUUCACACCCACAAUAGCUUCACCCACAAAGCUUCACCUACAAAAGCUUCACCCAUAAAAGCUUCACCAACAAAAGCUUCACCCACAAAAGCUUCACCCACCACAAAAGCUUCACCGACAAAAACUUCACCCAUAAAAGCUUUACCAACAAAAGCUUCACCCACAAAAGCUUCCACCACCAUAAAAGCUUCACCCACAAAAGCUUCCCCCAUCACAAAAGCUUCACCAACCACAAAAGCUUCACCCAUAAAAGCUUCACCUACAAAGCUUCAACACAAAAGCUUCACCUAAAAAAGCUUCACAUUAUCUUGAUCAAGAUAGUGUGAAGAUAGUGUGAAGCAAAAUCAAUUCAUGGUACCCAACAAAGCUUCAAUCUCAAAGCUUCACCUACAAAGCUUCAACAACAAAGCUUCACCUACAAAGCUUCAACAACAAAGCUUCACCUACAAAGCUUUAAAAUAUAUAUAUAUAUAUAUAUAUAUAUUUUUUUUUUUUGAAAUUCGAAAAUAAAAAAUAAAAAAAAAUUCGAAAAAUAAAAAAUUUCAAAAAAAAAUUCGAAAAAAAAAUUGCUUAGGCCUCCUUUUCUUUGGGCCUAACAACUUUCAUAACAAAUAUAUAUGAAGAAGGAGUUUUGGGCUACCACUUAGAAAGGAAAUGCCUCAUUCGUCAACUCCCUCGACCGGAGACUUAGGGGACUCCUACCAUAUGCUACUGCACCUUGAUACUCGGAAGUCUCACGACCACUCAGUGACUUGGAUUUUUCAAGUCUCCAAACGAGAAGUUUUCCUCACUCGGAAAAUUAAGGGAGCACUACCUCAACCUACAUGCUUCACUCACAAAGCUUCAACAUACAAGCUUCAACAAAAGGAAAAAUUCAAAGAACUUAGUGAAGAAGGCCUUGGUGUAUUUAACACAAUACGUUGAAAUGAAGCAAAGCUUGUUUAUUGAUAUCUCCGAUAAGUUACAAAUAUGUACAUAUACAUGAAUCAAAAUAAACAAACAAGAGGAGCCUUCACAAAGGUUGCUCAGGAGAAGUCUCAGCAGUCGGCAAGGGCCCCAGAAAGAGGAGGCACCAGAGGGUGAUUAUUCGGAGCCUCAGUACUAGGCAGAACCCCAGAAGGAGGAGGCACCGAAGGUUGAUCAUUUGGAGCUUCAUUACGCGGUACAGCCCCAGAAGACGAAGGCAAUAAAUGCCUUUGGAACAAACCCACAAACCUCUGAUGAUCAAGUAAAAUCUGACCAUCAGAUUCCUGCAGCUGGUCGAGCUUCCUCUUCAUGUUUGUAGCAUAGUCAUGUGCGAGCCUGUGCAACUGUUUAUUCUCAUGCUUGAGCCCUCUGAUCUCCUGUUUGAGACUUAUCACUUCAGCCGCCAAUGAUUCAACUUGGCGGGUUCGAGCAAAUAGGCGUUGGGCCAUAUUAGACACAGAACCUGCACACUGAACACUGAGAGCCAGAGAAUCCUUAACAGCCUUCAUCAGACCGUUUGGAAAGUAGUCUGUUAUCUUUGGGAGUGAGAAGGUUCCUGGCCACCACCGCAGCGGUCAUAUCAUUCUUCAUCACAGAGUCCCCAACGGUAAGAGGACCAGUAGGGGAUAAGAAGGAUGGGUGCCAUAUGUUGUCUUGAGAAGGCAUGGCUGCCUCUUCACCAAAGUUCAAGUCAAAACGACGGUCGGAUGGGCCAGACAUUCUCAGAAAUGAUGAAGGAGAAAUGAGGUGCAAUAAAUCUCUGAAGUAAGGGGAAAAUUCCUACAAGCAAUAACUCUCUGAAUGUACUUCUUGCACAUAAUUGGUGCCCUUAUAAAAGAAAGGGCAACAGGGCCGUUGGUUCAAAAAUCGAAGAGGCACCACUCUUCGGAUUCCAAAGAGGCACCACUUUCCACACGCAACAUCAGCUCCUCGGGUACCACAUAUAACUUUGCCAAAGAUCUCUGACAAAGUUUAGACACAUAAAUUUUAAAGGUCCAGCUAUCCUACUAUUACCCACAAGGGUAAAGGAACAACACCACUGCUUGAUAACUAGAAAGUCCCAAUGUGUGUCAACCUCCGUGCUCCGUGGCAAGGCAGACUGGCAAAAAUGCCCAACCUUUACUCACAUUUGAUAAAACACUCCCAACAAGAUUGCUUGCUCAAAAAUCGAAGAGACAUCGCCCUCCGAAUCUAGAUAGCCAGACUCCCAACAGGAUUAUUUUCUCAAAAAUCGAAGAGAUACUGCUCUCCGAAUCUCAAGAGUCAGACUCCCAACAAGAUUGCUUUCUAAAAAAUCGAAGAGGCACUGCUAUCUGAAUCUCGAGAGCUAGACUCCCAACAAGAUUACGUGCUCAAAAAUCGAAGAGGCACCGCCCUCUGAAUCUCGAGAGCCAGACUCCCAACAGGAUUACUUUCUCAAAAAAUCGAAGAGACUGCUUUCCGAAUCUCAAGAGUCAGACUCCCAACAGGAUUGCUUUCUCAAAAAUCGAAAAGGCAUCGUUAUCUGAAUCUUGAGAGCCAGAUCCUCGACAGGAUUGCUUGUUCGAAAAUCAAAGAGACACCGCUCUCUGAACUCCGAGAGCCAGAUUUCCUUGGAUAAAGCUUGUCUGCAAUCUUCACACACAACAUCAGUUUUCCAGAUACUACAAACCACUUUUUCAAAGUGCUCUGACAAAGUUAAAACACGUGAAGCUUGCAGCUCCCAUUACAUUGCUAUGACCAAGAAGGGUAAAGAAAUAGCACUACUACUUGUUAUUAGGGAGACUCAUAUAUAUAUCGACCUCCAUCCUCCACAACCAGGCAGACCUACAAAUAAAAAAAAAUGCUCAACUUUUCUUCACAUCCGAGAAGGCACCCUCAGCAGAGUCUCAUGAAAUACUCAGCUUUUUUUCCUCCCGAUAAUACCUCUGCAAACAAGCCACACCAGAGCAAGAGUAUCUCAUAUCAUCAGGGUUAAAAGCAAGAGUAUCCCAUAUCAUGCUUUUUCCCUGUUUUUUCCUUUGGCCUUGUUUUUACCUACAAGACAAGGAGAAAAAGAGCAAUCAGUCAGCGCUUGAAAUCAAGCUUCAAGUCAGGAACUACCUCUUGCCUGAUUACUUACCUGACAUUGCUCUCGAGUACUCAUCUUCAACAUCUUAUGCUUUCAGAGAAGAUACCAUAUCUGCCUGAGGAACAGAUAAGGCAAGUGAGAAGGAUACAAGGAAGCAAGUGGAGACAAGCGUAACAGAACACGUGCCGAUACAUCCACUACUUUGUCAACAACAAAAGUAUCCCAUAUCAUCAGGGUCGAACGUACUCUAGAUUUGAUGGACUUGUUUUGACCCUCAAAUUCUUGAGUCGGCCUUAUACUCUGGAGGAAACCAGAAAACCCUCCAGCCCAGUUCAAGAAUAAGCAUGUGGAAAGUUACUUCUUCAAAAGCAAAAGUAUCUCAUAUCAUCUCUUCUCCAUUUGUUUCUCCUUAUCCUUGUUGCUAUUUAAGACACAAGGAGAAGGAGAACAAUCAACCGGAAGCCGAAGUUGAACCUCUGAUCCAGGUUGCUUGCUUGGAAGUCUGAUUGCUUACCUUUUCUGUUACCUCUCUCGGCAAAUCUCCUAGCUCGACGACUUGGGGGACUCCUACUACAGGGUUUGUAUCGCACAUGACCAAGCUCGAAAUUACAAGUAAGCUUCAAGUGAAAUUGAUACAUUACCUUAUGCAUCUUCAUCGGUUAAAGAUACCACCCAUGGAUAGAGGAAAAGUACCUCUAGAGAAGAUGCCACAUCUACAUAUGAGACAGAUAAGACAAGUGAAAAUGAUACCACACUUCGGUACUUAGAAGUUUCGUGAUUACUUAAUAGCUUGGAUCUUGUAAGUCCCUAACCGAGGAGCUUCCCUUACUCGGGAGCUUAGGGGAUCACUGUUUGUACCAUACUUGACCAAUCCCAAAACUACUGAGCACCGGUCAAAGUUAUACCGUCAAGGACCCAUAAGUGUUUCCCUCCAACCAGGAGGCCAAUCACAGCGUGACACGUGUCGACAUCAGAAGCCAAUCAUAGCGCGACACGUGUCAACAUCAGAAGUCAAUCACAACACGACAUGUGUCAAUGUCAGAAUGAAACUAGAAACUCUCUUCUAUAAAUAGAGAUCAUUCUCUCAUAAUAUUUCCUAAUGUCAUUUGUACUAAAUCAUUCACUAGUACUCACUAAAGAAGAGUUUGAACAUAUGUACUUGUGUAAACCCUUCACAAUUAAUAAGAACUCCUCUACUCUAUGGACGUAGCCAAUCUGGGUGAACCACAUACAUCUUGUGUUUGCUUCCCUGUCUCUAUCCAUUUGCAUACUUAUCCACACUAGUGACCGGAGCAAUCUAGCGAAGGUCACAAACUUAACACUUUCUGUUAUACCAAAGUCCUCACUGAUUUUGUGCAUCAAUAUUGUACAAAUGAAAGGUAUGGUGACUAUAGAAGCUAAAAAUAAAUAAACAGAAAAUAAAGGAAAAGUGACAAAGAAAAAUAUUAGUUUGUGUCGUUCUCAUUGUAAUAGUCUGUCAUGUGAUAUAUUUUAUACAUUGUAAUAUGAACGAUGAGUAAGUGUUUUGUUUUUUUUGUCAAACAAUAUAUUUGUUAGAUUAGAGAAUUGACGGGGUUCGAAUCCACGUCGUGGUGCAAGGCCACCACUAGUCUCCACUACUGUGGUAGAGUGCCACUUGUGGUCAGUAAGUUAUUAAAUGGUGUGAGAAUUACACCAAAAUAUUCAUUAGUUUUGGAGUAAUGCUAGAGAGACUAAAUUUGUAGACAAAAUUUUAAAAACUAAAAGACAUAAAAGUUAAUGAUUGGUUUAUUACUUAAGUGUUAAUAAACAUGCUUAUUCCUAUUGGUGACACAUUAUUUAGUUUACAAAUUUUGUCUAUAAAUUUAGUCUCUGUGGCAUUACCCUUAGUUUUAGGCUUUGUAAUCAAAAUGGUCUUAGAGAUUGGUACAACUCUUUACUUUGGUCCCAAAUAUUGAAAAUUGAUAGAAGUAAUCCCUGAGUUUGUUCACCGUAAAUCAUUUUGGUGCAUCCGUGAAAAGUCUGUCAACACCAUCUUUAAAUUGUCAUAUGAGCGACCACAAGACAACCUUUUCCAUAGUAUUGUCAAACUAACUCCUUUUAUUAACCAAAAUGGUCGAGUUUGGUAUAACCUCUCAUUUUGAUUACUAACAAUGAAUAUCAAUAGAUGUGGUCCUUGAGUUUGUCUAUCGUAAAUCAUUUUGGUCAUUCUAUGAAAAAUUUAUCAAUAUACUCGUUAAAUUGUCAUGUGAGCGACCGCGUGAUCACCUUUUAAAGGGCAUUUUUACCAAACCAACCCCUCCACUUAACAAGAAUAUUGAUAGAGUUUUCAAGGAAGGAACAAAAUGAUUUACGAUGGUCAAACUCAAUGACCACUUCUAUCAGUUUUCAUUGUUAGGGACUAAAAUAAAGAGUCAUGUCGAUAUCAGGAACUAUUUUGGUUAAAAGGGGUUGGUUUGAUAAAAAAAUACAUUUAAAAGGGUGGUUACAUGGUCGCUCAUGUAACAACUCAAUGAUGAUAUUGAUAGAUUUUUUACUGAAUGAUCAAAAUAAUUUAUGGUGGAUAAAGUCAAAAACCACGUCUAUCGAUUUUGUAAUCUUAGAAACUAAAACGAAGAAUUAUGACAAUCUCAAAAAUCAUAAGUUUAACUAAAAACUCUUCUUGUUAUACAUCAAAAUUAAUGAAUGUGCUUUUGUAGAGGACGUAAAUGUGUCAACGAAUCAGACCUUCACUAGUUAAAACCAUCCCUACUAAUGCUGUUUGAAAAGUAAGUACUAAUAUGAUUAAUGAUUGUACAGAAAAAUAAGUACUAAUAUGAUUAAUGAUUGUACAGAAAAAAAUAUAUUAUCUGAACAGCUCAUCGUGCAUGUUGAUUGAUGUAAAGUGAAUUUUUUUUUUUUUGGUAAACUUGGGAAGGUGGAACUUGGGAAGGAAUUUCACAUUCUUGGGGUGAUCAAUAUAAUGAGAUUGUAAGUCUAGUUAAACAUGCUUAAUUAAACAUUUAAGCAUCUUUUAUUUAUUUGUUUUCAUUCUUUAUUCCUUCUUAAUUUGUUGUAAUUGUUUGGAACAACUAGCAAGACAAAUCUAGCUAGCUAGCAUUCACUGCACAAUGAAAGAUUAUUCGUAUUUGGAAAUGAAUAAUUAGUUAAAACCUGUAUUAUUAGGCAAAUGGGAUCGUAAAUAUUUGUAUCUUAAACCUUCACAGUCAGAGAUAUUCGAGUCAAUUAGUUAAAAGCUAUGAAAAUUGUGAAUGUGACAGACUACGUACUAAAGUCUGGAUUAUUUGAGAGAGAGAGAGACAUGAGUCUCGCAGCCGACUGGUCCCUCAUCUGAGCAGAAAGAACCAUAGAAAGUUAGGCAACCACGCACAUUUUCAAAGAUGUCGAUCAUGAAAAAUAUUUCACAAAUAAAUUCAGGGAAGACUUUCUGUUUAAAUUAUUAACCCAGAAAUAAAGCUCCAUCUCUUGGUAGCUAGCCUUUCUGCUACGUACUCUUGUUGCAUUAAACUAAACCUUAUUAAAGCAAAAAUAAUCACACCUUAGGUGAUAGGUUUAGGGAAAUGGUUAAUGAUUUUAGCAAGUUCUUGUUUAUUUUUUAAUUUUUAAUUUUUUUUUCUUUAAUCAAUUUAAAUGCUAAAAUUAAACAACGAUGUGCACCACAAAUAAGAGGGUGUGUGAAAAUUAUAUCUCUAUAUCUAGAGAAAAUUAUGGCAAUGGUUCUUUAACUUUAAUAAAAUUGAAGUAAUGGUCUCUCAAAUAAAAAUUUAUGAUCAUUGGUCCCUUAAUUCUUUCAAACAUGCAACUAUAGUCAUUUUCAUCAAUUCCAUAAGAACGUCCAUCAAAAUGAGUCACGUUUCAUGCAAUGAGGCUGAAUCGAAGGACAAAUAUGAAAAACCAAAUGAGAAAAAUUGUAGCAGUGGUCUCUCAACUCUAACCCAACUAGAGAAAUAGUCUCUCAACUUUAACUCAAUUAGAGUAAUGAUCCUUCAACCUUAACGUAAUUGUAGCAAUGGUUAUUCAAACAUAACUUAUUUUGACAGAAUUCUAACGGAGUUAACAAAAAAAUCAUAGCUGCACGUUUUGAUGAGUCAAGAGACCAAUGAUCAUGGAUUUUUAGUUGAAGAACAAUUGCUCUAAUUGGGUUAAAGUUGAGAGGCAAUUGCUACAAUCUUCUCCUAUAUUUAUUUAUUAUUAUCUACGUUUACAAUGAACCAUCUACUCCAUGAAGCAAGAUAUUAAAAAAGGACAAGGAUUGUCUGCCCUUCCAUUUUCCAUGCCCUCCUGUUUUGUGUGAUCACAGUUAAGCCACGUUAACAUUUUAUAUAUUUUUUAUAAAGAUAAUAAAACAAAAAUGAAUAGUAAUAUAAAAUAUUGACGUGGCUUAACCGUGACCACACAAACAAGAGGGCAUGGAAGGGCAUGGAAAAAGGAAGGGCAGACAAUCCUUUCCAUUAAAAAAAGGGCAGGGCUUAACAAAAUUCAGUCAAAGGCCUCCUUGAUCCAAACAUUAAUUGAUAAUCUAUUCAAACAGUGGCCCCAUUAGUCUUAUUUUAACAUUAAUCUUAUUUUUUACUAAGGUAAUUAAUAAUUGCAAGUGAAAUUUGGCAUGAUUACCGUGGUGUUAAAGGUAAAGACCAAAGCUAUAUAAAGGGUGAGAAGGCUUAGCUUAAGAGGCAGAAAUCCCAUUCUUAACAAAGAUGGGGAAAAUGGGGCCUUCACAAGUGACCUCUCUUGUGGUCACUAUACUAGUGGCACUAGUCUCUCUCACAUUGCCUUCAGAAACUUCAGCUAACUACCCUUACUCAUCUCCACCACCACCGGCUUCUCCUCCCUACCACUACAAGUCACCACCACCUCCUUCUCCUUCUCCUCCAGUGUACUCACCACCUAAGCAUCCCUACCACCCCAAGUCACCACCACCAUCACCAAAGCCUUACCACUACAAGUCCCCACCACCACCUCCUCCUCCAGUGCACUCACCACCCCCACCAAAGGAGCCUUACCACUACAAGUCUCCACCACCACCACCCAAGAAACCUCACCAUCACAAGUCUCCUCCACCACCACCCAGGAAGCCCUACCACCCGGUGCACUCACCCCCACCACCAAAGAAGCCUUACCAUUACAAGUCUCCUCCACCACCACCCAAGAAGCCCUACCACCCGGUGCACUCACCCCCACCACCAAAGAAGCCUUACCAUUACAAGUCUCCUCCACCACCACCCAAGAAGCCCUACCACCCGGUGCACUCCCCACCACCACCAAAGAAGCCUUACCAUUACAAGUCUCCUCCACCACCACCCAAGAAGCCCUACCACCCGGUGCACUCACCCCCACCACCAAAGAAGCCUUACCAUUACCAAUCCCCACCACCACCACCACCACACAAGAAGCCUCACCACCCAGUUCACUCACCACCUCCACCUAAGAAGCCUUACCACUACACGUCUCCCCCACCACCCCCUCCAGUCCACAAGUCUCCUCCACCACCAGUUCACUCACCACCACCACCACCUAUUAAACCUUACAAGCCACCAACACCUCCAACAGUUCACCCACCACCCGCUUACAUCUAUUCAUCACCCCCACCUCCUCACCACUACUAGAUAUUGAGAGCUUAGUUGCAUCCAGUUGGUAAGCCUCUCCAUUCUAUGUUUUUAGAUCAUAUCCAUACAACUGCAAGCAAUCGCCAAAUAAUUUGACAAAAAACAUCCCUAGCUAUAAAAUUAUAAUACACUAGUGUUUACUUCCUUUUUUGUCUAAUAAUCCAUAUUGGCAUAUGCAAGCUUAAUGCAUUUCCAGCAUAUCGUCAUUACUCAAUUAAAGUUUCUUGAUAUUUAGUAGUACUCAAGUGUAACAAAUAGACCAAUGACAGAGACCUAACAAGUAACAAUAAUAUAUAUAUAUAU